rnacentral:lncRNA from 1 species
CAGCCAAUAGUGGAAGAAGGCAACGUUCUAUCUGCUGAUGCUGAAUCAUUGAUGAAGGAAAUCCACUGUUUGGAACAAUUAAAUCUCAUCACCUUGUCCUUACAUGGUUCGCGUGGUGUUGAAAACUUUCUGAAAUUCCCAAAGCUGCAGAAUAUCACUCAAGCUCUGCACAUCGAAGACUGCAACAGUCUACCGCUCAAUUUGUUGCAUCUAGCAAACAUGGAGCAUCUUGAGAAGUUAUUUAUCGAGGAUAGUAAUUUGGAAGACUGGAAUGUCGACUGCGCGGGAGAGGUACAAAAAAUGCGUAAACUUCACUUUGUUUCAAUAUACGAAUGCUCAAAUGUGAAGGACUUAACGUGGCUUGUUUUUGUUCCAAAUCUCAAGUGGCUGCGAAUAUUUGAUUGUGAUGACAUGGAAGAAAUAAUCAGUGUUGAAAAUUUUGAAAAAUUGAGUGAAGUUUCAGAGAUGAUGGGAGAGCUUAACUUGUUCUCGGAACUCGAAUCUCUGAAUCUAGGAUAUGCAAGUAAUUUGAAGCGCAUCUACCGCGAUCCCUUGCCCUUUCCACAGCUGGAGCAAAUUUACAUAUCGAAAUGCCCAAAGUUGAAGAAGCUCCCGCUCAAUUCCAGCAGCGCAAAGGGACGUAAAAUUGUCAUUUACGGGGAGAAAGAAUGGUGGGAAGAGCUACAAUGGGAGGAUCAAGCCACUCAAAGUGCUUUCUCUCCCUGUUUGGCUGUUUCGUGCCUUCAUGAAUAAUAAAGUGCAAUAAGGCGCAAAAGUGUGAAUAAAGUUUCUGCGUGUGCUUAAUGAUUAUCUUGUCUAUCCAUUUCAUUUAAUUUAAAAGCUUUCUACGGUGUUGCGUGUGUGUCACUUGUCAUUCUUCUGCACUGCUGUUUCCUAUUUCCAGUUAAUAAAAUUUUUUUGUUCUUAGAAAUGCUUUGCUGGUAAUAUAUUCUAUUUACUUUCCUCCUAUUUUCAUUACAGCUAAUAAUUGCAUAGUUGUAUAAUUUUUUAAUAUUAUCUUUAUUUUUAAAUAUACUUUUAUUUAUAUUUAUUAUAAAUUAAAUAAAUGUAUGAAUAGAAAUUAAAAUGAAAACUAAGUAUUAAAACAAGAAAUAUAUAUUUUGAUUUGAAUAAAAAUAUAAAUAUUUGUUUGUACUUUUUUAUAUAUAUAUUCAAUAUAAGAAAAUAUUUAUAAAAUAAAAAGUGUAAGAAAAAUAUCUUAUUAUUAAUUCUUAUUCACAUCAAAACAUAUAUUUCUUACUUUAAAUACUUAAUUUUUUAUUCAAAUUAUCAUUCAUAUGAUUUAUUUAAUUUAUAAUACAUAUAAAUAAAAAUAAUAUUGUAAAUUAUGUUGUUAGAAAUUAUUAGUUAUUAUAAAAAUAAUAUGGGACAAAUGGUAAAUCGGAGAUAUUGUUUCCUAUUUUCAGCUAAAAAAUUUAUUUGUUCUAAUAAUUGCUUUGCUAGUAAUAAGGCCUGCAAGUUGCUUAACUGAAUAUGACUUCUUUUUUAAAAAUGUUACUAUCAAUUUCGAUGAUUGAUUAUCUCGAAGUAGUGAAAUUUAUGUAAUGUUGGUAUUAAAAAAAUUUGUGCUACUGAUAAAAAAAGUCCAUUGGAUUCGGCCUAAAUGACGGAUCGUGGCUUGAUUUUCUCAUCCCAAAGGCUCUGUAUCUCACUUUCGAAAGUAGUUUUAGCAUAAUGUAGGUGAAAAAUUAAAAUAUUCUGCGAUCUCUAUAUAGCUUUUCCAACAGAUUUCACCCAUUUGACUGUAGACCAAAGCAUCCAUUGGAUCGAUGCAUUUAUUAAGAAGAGGAUCAUUCGGAGCUACAAUUGGAGGAUCGAGUCACGCAAAGAGUUUUCUCUACUUGUUUCGAUCCUAUGGAGAUAGAGUUUUCAUAGAUUGAUGGUAGGAGCUUUUUUGUCAAUUUAUGUAUCUAAUUGUGUGUAACAUGCUUUCUUGUCUUUCAUAUCAGACAUUGUAAAUUUGUAAUGUUGCCAUUUUCUUUUUCCUAUCAAGAAAGAAAGAGCAUUGCGAGUAGUCUUUCCAAUUUUCACUCCUUUUUGGUAUGUGAAGAAAAAUAAUAAAGCAAAACAAACUAGUGUUGAAGAAAAAGAAAAUGACAAGUUCAAUAGGGCAAAAGUUCACCAUCCCUUUACCAUUUGCUCAAGCAAGUAAGCUUUACGUUUACUUCUUGAGAUUUGAACUAACCAGACAACUUGUAAUGUUACCAUAAAGUUCAAAGAUUAGAAGAGAAAAACUUAUGUCUGUUAGGCACUAUUAUUCAGGCUUAAAUAAUAACAAUAAAAUACUACACCAUGUCUGCUCUCUUUUACUUUUCUUGGUUCUGUUGUAAAAUUCAGUUCUAUUUGAAGGAAAUUAUUAACAUCAAAACUAAAUACUUCGUGAGCAUCUACUGACAACAUACUCCAGAUGACACCAUAACCAUAUCAUAUAAAGCAAGAAAUGUGAAAUAAAUACAAAAUGAAUCAUAGGAGGGAAUUACCACACUCUGCGGUCUCUCCUGCUAAACCCUGCAGUUAGAAUGCCAUUUGUCGUGAGCACCUGAAUCCCCAAAGGACUCCCAGCUUCAAGUGGCUUUGACUUAGCUUGCUUUAGCUCCAUUGCACAUACUCACUCACAUGAAGGAAAUGAACAGAACAAGAAACCUCAUCAUGCCGAAUAUGAUAGAUAUGACAAGGCAUUACACUGUAGGAAGCUCCCGAUUUCUCUACAAAACUCUGCAGGUUCUCCACAAUCAAGGCGUGCUCCAUCUUUAACAGAUCACUUCUACCAUUAAGAGAAGGAAGAGAGUUCCUCUCGUGUGGCAGUAAAUCCUUACUUAACACAGGAUUGAAGCCAACCAAGAACGGAAGGCAAUUUCGUUAGAUUAAGAACCGAAUCACCAUCCAAUAUAGUAGCAUUUGAACCAGAACUCUUGUUAAAUUCUUGAAAUCUCCUGCUUUCAUCAGUCUGUAAGAGAAAUGAAGAUGAGAAUAAUAGCCAGAACCGGAUUAAAUUCAAUCUGGUCUUUUGAAGACUUCUAUAACAACUAAGAGAACCCAGUGUACCGCCUACAGAUACUGUCAGGCUUCUAUCAAAUAUCCCAAACACCAAAAACCAACCCAAUUAAGCUAACAAACCUGCAUGAAUAUCUAAAUUUCAAUGCACGUGAAACAAACUCCGUGUUCAAUCCACCAAAACUAGCAAAUUUCAAACUUUAUCACUCAUCAUUCUCUCUCUGUCAGCUGUAUGAGGCUAUGAGAUCAUGUUAUAAUGUUCAUAUUGAUGCUGAAUGUUUUGCCAGCUUGUCUGAAUUCCAUAAGAGAAUGCAAUGUGCACAUUAUUGUGCCUUGCCCACCAUUAGAUUCUAAACCACAAAAUCAUUGUGUGAAGUAGCUGACGUUUCGCACAUUCUUAUCCCUUAUCAUCAAUAUUCUUCUCCUCAAGCUUAGAUCAUGGAAAUUUGAGUGACAAACAUGAUAACAUGGUAACACCAUCUAAACUUUAGGGGCAUAAAGUAACAUAGAAGCAACAUGGGAUGUUUUAAAAUCUAUUAUAAUUUGCUUAGGCCCCUGAAUAAAAUUAAAACUUGUAAUGAAAUAAAGUAGCAAAAUAAAGAUUGGAGGUCGCAUGCUUGAUAUUUGAUGCUGUCAAAAUUAAUUUGCAGUGCUGAAAUUGCUGCUCCAAUAAAUUUUUCAAUGGGAUUUCUAUAUUUACAACAAAUUUUCAGUAUUGAAACAGGAUUAAAAUCAUAAAGUAUCUUUUAAACAGCAGAGGCAACAAGAUCCUACAGAAAAAGAAGGCAAAAAGUAGUUACAAGCUACAGAAACGCAAAUAUUCUACUGGCCAACUCCCACUAAAUUCGAAGCAAUUCUAAAAUCUCAGCUUGUACUACGACAUCAUUCCUUCUAUGUGGCCCAACUGUACUUCACCCAGAAAUCACAUUUCUUCAUCAGAGAUAAUUUUACUUCUAAUAAGAGAGAAUUUUUUAUAUGCAUGGCUUUACAGUAAUGAAUAAUUUUCCUUAAAUCUUUUCUAACAGACAAGAAAGCACAAAGCACAAAAAUUGAUAUAAACAACUUUUCUCGAAGCUUUUUCAUAAGAAAACCUGAACAUGAUUGCUUCUCUUAGAAGGCCCCCUAGCUUCCUGCAAGAACCUUGUGCCCCCAAAAAAAACAAAGGAUUAUAAUUAGGCAUAAGGCUCCCAAUGUUCUUGCAGGAAUUAUGAUGAAUAUGAGAGUUUCAAAAAAGAAAAAAAAAUAUUACGACAACCUCUAGGCGGAGGAAAUCAGUUUUCUAGGAAUUCGUUAGAUUGGUGAAGUUAUAGAACCGCAGCAAUUUGCUGUAGUUUGGAAUGUUUUUGCCUUUCAUUAUAGCAUUUGAAAAGGCUCAAGGAUAUAGAAGAACCUUGGCUACAAAUUCAGGGAAGAUUUCACUUAUAAUGAGAAAUAAUCACCAUUAUUAUAUACAAUGAGAAAACAGUUAUGGAAGAAAUAGAAAGAAUUACCCGAAACGGAGGAUUUGGAAGACAAUGAGACAAAAGUAUAAAGAAGAAGAAAUUGGAGAUAUAAUGACUGCCUAUUUCUUUGAUGAACCCAUCAAAAACGGCUUGAAAAUUAAAGAAAUUGUAAAAUGCUGUAACGGAGGAAUUGAAACUGUAAAAGAUGCAAGUUAAUUCAUGGGGCUGGCCAUCUUGAUUGAUUGAACACCUAUUAGAUUUUUAAUAUUAAAGAACUCACUUUAAUGAUGUUUAAUUGGUAGUAGCCCUUUAUAGUCUUUAAACCUUUAGCAGUGCAAAGUCACAAGCUUUGUCCAGAAUCUAAGGGCGUAAGUUAUAGGCGAUGGGUGCCAUCACCUGGGCAACGACGUACAUCGCUUGGGCGACAAGCCAAUUUACUAGGCUCAUCGCAAACAGCCUUCGUCGCCUGGGCGAUGGCCAAAUCCAUCCAAUAAACUUUCAGCUCAUGUUUGAUAGUCUAAAAAAAGUAGUUAUGGUGGCCAUCACACAUCACAUUUUACUGACAAGCUGUCUUAAUUUUCAUAGAAAAUUGUUCCUACUGAUUUUCCAAUACUGGCCUAAUACUUGCAGAUUAUUAAACGAUUAUGGAAUGGCGGCGAUUUUAGACCAGUAAUUUUGUCAAUAAUUGCUAAUUCGCAAUCCCUUUACAAAUCUAAUAAUCUACUGCAUACACGCUCUUGAUGACUUGGAUUCUCAAAAAAUAACCAUUUUACGCCGCUGAAGCGCAGAAAAAUCAAUUGUUUUAUCCACUUCCAAAUAAAACUUAUUCUAGUAAAUGCGAUAAAGAAAUGUUUAUUUCAAUUUCCAACCCAGAUCUCAUAAAGAAUUUCUCACUCAAAUAAACAAAUAAAUAUCAUCUGGUAAUGGUAUGACAUUUAUUUUGAAGUAAACACUGGCCCACUAUUUUCUCAAUUUUCCAUUGUUUGAGGACACCAUUUUCUCAAUUGAAGAACAUGUUCUGGCCAAAAUUCACAAUUUUCUCCACGUGAUUUAAAGCACACAGGAUUCACACUUUUCUCCACGUGAUUUAAAAGCACACAGAAUUCUCCUGACCUUAAUUACGGAUCUUAUUAUGUUUAUUGAAAUCCAAUAUUGUAGACUCAUUGUUGUAGCUAGAAAAUCAUAUUAAUAGAGUAAAAUUUAUAAAUAAUCAAAGAAAAGAGUUCACGCUCUUACUUCAUUACUUUUAUAAUCUUAUUAGUAUAUCUACUUACAUGUCUUCAGAAAAUACAGUUUUAAGAGGAUAUUUUUAUUUUUCUUCGUAAUAAUAGAUUUAAUUUUCAUCUUUCUAAUGUUAAGUUGCAUAUUUGGAGUAAAUAAUAUUAAAUUUCAAAUUAGAUCACAGACCCCAUUUUAAUAGAUUCAAUUGGAUUUUGGACAUCUAAUUAAACAACUGGACUAAUAAAUUGCAAAUGAAUGAGAUUUAUAUGUGAUUUUAAAAUAAAAUUUGAACUCAAAUCUAUGUAUUUAAUUAAUCCAACAGGACAAAUUUAUAAUUUUCACCAACUAAAUAAAAUAUGUUAUCAGAAACUUUUGGACCAAGUCGCGCACUUCGUGGGUCUGCUACUACUUAUAGUCCAUUCUCAUUCAACUUUCACAUCUUUUAUAUUAUGUACAAAUUGGAUUAUAUUCUAAAACAGUGUUUCUAAUUGUUUAACGUUUUAUUUCUGGGUAUAUUUAGAGAUUAAAAAAUAUGGGAAACAUAAUUAAUUUUAUCAAAUAAAAAGGAGUAUUGUUCAUUUUUUCAUAAACAAUGUGUUAAAAUACUUUUGGUAUUUAAGAAGUAAAAAUUUUUAUUUUUGUUUCAUAAAAAAGCAUUCAAAAUUAUAUUAAAUAAAAUUAAAGAUUAACAAAACUGACAUCUGAAUUUCGUGCAAAUUAUAAUAAGUUUAUCUCCAGCGUGAGUAACAUUAAAGCUUGGCUAGCAUCAUCAUAUUUUAUCUCCAGCAUCAAAAUUCUGAUAACAUCAACAUCAUAAUUCCAAGGUUGUCAAAACUAAUUAUCAAAUUAAAAUCCUUUGUGAUUUAAGCUCUCUUGGACUUUUAAAAAUGUUAUGCCACCCCUUCUUUAAUAAUAGUAGUAUAUGAUUAUGAUUUAAUUAUUUUAUUUUUUUAAUUUAUCAAACACCAAUCACUUAAAUUAAACUCAAGAAAAAAAUUAGAACAUCAAAGAAUUUUAAUUGCUUCUUAUUAAGUACUAGAAUUAACUUCUCCCAAUGAUAAUUUAUUAAGCAAACCAUAAUGAUCAUCUUACACUAAAGAACCAACCCAUCUUCAAAACACAAGAAUUUAGUACAAAUAAUUAUCCCAAUAAAGUUUAACGAAAAAGAAAAGAGAUAUUUUUAUUAUUUCUUUUACUUUCUUAGUGGCUCUGCUACUACCUAUAGUCCAUUCUUAUUCAACAUACAGAUCUUUUAUAUUAUAUGCAAAUUAAAAUAUAUUCUAAAAAGUGUAUCCAACUGGUUAACAUAUUAUUUCUAUAUAAUAAUCAAUUUUAUCAAAUAAAAAGGAGUUUUGGUCAUUCAUUUGGCUCCGUUGCCACUGUUGUACGCUACAAAAGCUUUUGUCUUUGCUGACUCAGUUACUGUAAAAUGUCGUUCAGCCCCUUAUACUCUAUUUUAUUUAUAAGAAUUAUAAAAAUUUCUAAUUACCUACACUUUCAAAAUUCAAUUUAUCUCCUUACAAUCUUUUUCAUUUACUUUUUUUUGUAAGUAUUAAAAAGUUUCUAUUUACAACCACGACAUAGUAAUCAUCAUAACACACGAAUAUUUAUAAAAAUAUAAAAAUAUCACUAAAUUAAUACUAAAAAAUGUUUUCCUCUCUUGAGGAAUUAUGGUAUCUCAUUUUCGAUCACUCAUUAUCAACAAAAUUUUCAAAGAUAUGAUCAUUCAUCUUCUUUAUAAUAUCAUCUUAUAAUAAUUAAUACUUUCAUGAUUAAAAAAAUUAACAAAAUAAAGAUAAAUUCCCUUUGAAUCCAUCCCUCUCUACUAUCAUUUUCUCUUCAUUAGCAACAUUUAUCAAUAAUUGAAGCCACCAUCAGACUCAUCACACAGAGAGAGUGAGAGAGGGGAAGAAGAAACGGGAAAAAAAAAUAUAUGAGACAUUUACAAUUUUAUAGUGUGUUUAUUCAACGAGAUUCAUAUAUAGUUGCUAAGGGGUUUCAUUAGACACAGAGAGUUUAUUACACUGAAACUUUUAAUCCAGUAGUUAAGGCCUCAACAAUCAGAGUUAUUCUUAGCCUAGCAGUACUUAACAAGUGGAUAAUCAGACAAGUGGAUAUUAAUAAUGCCUUAAUGGCAUUUCAGUUGAAGAAGUUUACAUGGCACAACCUGAGGGAUUUGUGGAUCCUACUAAACCCCAACACAUCUGCAAAUUAAAAAGGACUAUAUAUGGCUUGAAGCAAGCUCUCAGGGCUUGGUUUGAUAGAUUCAAAGCUGCAAUGAUUACUCAAUGACAUUUUCAACACUCAAAAUCAGAUAAAAAAUAUCAAAAUAUUUAUAUCAUUAAACUUUUAGGCCUAAUUAACUAAUUAAAGUUCUAAAUUUUUAUUUAGGACAUUAAAAAGACCGGAUAGAUUCUAUUAGCCCAAAAAUUUUAUUUUAAUUUUAAUAUUCAUUAAAUAUUUUAAACUUAAAUCUAUUUUUUAUUUAUUUUUAGAUGUUAGAAUUGCCCACAGCGAAUCACAAUUUUAAUAUCUAAUCUAAUUUAAUCUAAUAUUUGCUCUUGAUUUGCUCUUACUUAACUAUUGUGUUGUAAAGGGAAUAGUCCACAUUUAUAAAGUGCCCACGCCACCCUUGAAAAAGUUAAUUUUGAAUCUAAAUUUGAUUUUAUUUGUAACAAUUUUGUAUUAGACUAUUAAUUUAUUUAUGAUAGUUUGUAAAAGAAGUUUGUAUCCCUUGCAUGCUGCGUUACUUACUAAUUUAAUGUAUGUGACUUUUGUAAUGGAUAUUAAUGCAAGAUAUUUUUCGAACUUUACUUUUAUUUAAAUUUUAUUUUAAUAUGAUUAACUCAAAUCGAAAAUAAAAAAAUGUAUUAAUUAUUCGGGGAUCGGGGACCCUCGGGGAUCCCCUAUUAUUAUUCGGGGAGGAGAUAGAGAUUCUCUUAAGUAAUUCUGACAGGGACGGGAAGGGGAUGAGGACAUACACAAAAUAUUGGGAAUGGUUACGGGGAGAUUGGUCCCCUCCCCUCCCCUCCCCAUUGCCAUCCCUAACUCCCUGACUAAAUAAUUUGGGAAUAUAAGGAUGCAAUAAGAGUUGAGUGGUCUUUAUUCCCAUAGCAUUAUUUUUUUCUCGCUUCAUCCGUGCUCUAUUCAAUCUUUAUGUGCCGCUUGUGUUAUGUUCCUGCAUAUCUAAUUACCUUUAGCUGCUUGUGUUAUGUUUACUUGUUUUGAUCUUAAUCUUUAAUCACUUAGCCUGAAUAAGAAAUAAUUUUUUAUAUUUGCUCUGCAAUGAUGUUAUUCGGUGUUAAUAGCUUCGUUUUGUUACUCUUUUCCGCACAGAUUCUUGAUCUCAACAGAACUUUUAUUUUGAAUAUUCUGCAUAAGGACAAUCUCAUUUAAUACCAUCAGUGAUUUUUCAUUUUUUUUCUCUUUAGUUUUAAUAUGUUUGAUAACUGUAUGGCUAAGCAAUCUAUGCAAUUUUAUCUUGUCGUAUGUUUGAGCUCAUUUUUUGUUGCAAUUCUGAAUAUUUGGUAUGAAUUAUGUGAUACCGGACAAUACUGUUAACUUGUUCAUUUCUUAAUUUUAAUAUCUUGUCAAAGUCACUAAUAGCAUUUCAUCAUGCUAUGAGUUAAACAUGGAACAAAUGACGACAUGCAGUUGUGGAAUGUGGUAGAUCUCUGGAAUUCUAUGUCCUUAUGCUUGUAGGGCAACACAAUACAUUAGUUAAAACAUUAAAGACUAUGAUGUCCGCAGAAAAUUAUAUGUCAACAUAUGCACCAGGCAUGAUGAAAUUAGCCAAAGACAGUGCUUGGAAACAAUUAACUAACUUUUGGCAUUAGGCGUAUCAAGUUCAAUUCGGUAUUUCACAAAACUUAAACUAACUUAUUCCUAAUUAUAGUGGACACAAUUAACUAACUUUGGCAACUGUUCUGAAGAGGAUGACUUCUUCAGGAUGACAUCAACUACCAGCGAUGAUACUAUCAGUAAGCUGCUUCUGCUAUCUAUUAAAUAUUACUGCUAAACGUAAUAUUGACAAUUUGUCUGUGUGCAGGCCUGUGAUAACCACUUGGAUCGGAUAAAGGACUGGGACAUCAACAAUUUGCCCAGAAACCAAUAAGAUAUCAUUGUAAUGUUUAAUUAUACAUGUAUUAGUUUCUCUUUGGAUGGUGCUCUUUGUUAUGCAAAAGUAUGGCGACUAUGUUUCAACCAGUGUAUCUAUUAUAUACACUAACUAUGAAUUACUAGAAAUUUUAUUACAUUAAUCAUUUUUAGAUAGCCACUCAUCUCAAACGAAACAAACUGGUCAGAGACACUUGACCCAACAUGCUUGUGAUCGACCUUAGAAUAAAUUUUUCUCACUCAAUAUAGACAACUUCUGUGAGGUUAAUAUUUCUUCAAAUGUCAAGAAAAGCAUUGGCCACAUAAAUGCAUACACAUGUUUUUGUUGGGAAGUUAAGCAGACGGGAACAACAUUGGACUAUAUACUCAUACACCAAACUUUAAUAAACUAAUAAAUAUAAUUUAAUAAUAAUUUAUUUCUCCUCGCUUAUGUGAGAAAAAGUCAAACCACAUAACGUAUUUAUAUUUUGUUAAGAAAUUUUACUGAUUGAACUAAUUAACACUAAUUUCUUAUCUCUCUUAACCAACGGAUAUUUUGAAGAUAGUUUUUUAUUUUCUAUAUUUUAUGUACUAAAUGAUUUUAAACCUCUAUCACGUCAUGAAUAAAUUGGAGUUUAGGUUGCUUAAAAUAAUAAUAAUAAUAAUAAUAAUAAUAAUAAUAAUAAUAAUUAAUAAAUGUAUUGAUGGAUUUCAUAAUCAUCCCACUUAGGGGUGGGCACGGUUCGGUUCGGUUCGAAAUUAAGUAGAACCGAUUUAAAUCGGUUAUUUUAUAAAAAGAACCGAAUAAGAACCAAACUCAAUAAGAACCAAACUCAAUAAGAACCGAACUCAAACGGUUCUUUUCGGAUCGGUUCGGUUCGGUUCGGUUUUUUCGGUUCUGGGUCUAUUGGGCCUAUUUUGAAUUUUUAAAUUUUUAGCCCAUUGGGCCUCAUAAAUGUAAUAAUUUUUUUCAACAAUUAAUUUAUCCUAAUUUUAUUACAAAUAUUAACAAUAAAUACAAAGUAUUCAAAACACAUUUUAUCACUAAUAUCUUACUAAUUAUUAAUAAGAUACUCCCAAAAUAUGAAAUAUUAAAAUUUCAAAAUACAUAACCAAACUCCAAUACUCCAUCUAUAUAAACAUAAUCAUAAUGUUAUAAAGAGAAAUAACACAUGUUUGAUUUGAAUAAAAUCAUGUUUGAUUUGAAUAAAAUUAUUAACACAUGUUUGAUUUGAAUAAAAUAAAAAAAUAAUUCGGUUCUUCGGUUCGGUUUUUUGGUUCAGCUAAGUGAACCGAAUACCGAACCGACAUUUCAGUUUUUUUUACAAACGGUAUAUUCGGUUUUUUUAAAAAAUAAAAACCGAACCGAAUUAAAAAAAACCGUCGGUUCGGUUUUUUUUAACAUUACGGUUUUUUUGCCCACCCCUAAUCUCACUCCUACGCCUCAAGACAAACAAGCUCACACUUCACGGAUCAGUCAAAGGAUCGGCUUUCAAGUCGUUGAAUUCACGGUGGUCAAACUAACGGAAAAACUAACGUGACGUCAAUCAGAUACGGUUUAUAAUAUAUGUAUCCUCAAUCAACGCAAAAAGUUUGAUCUGAAAAACCCUCUGCCUAAAACGCGUUUUCAGAAACGCGGUUUUGUUUUUCAAGUGGUUCCCAGAGCAUCCAUGCCAUGCUCUGUAUCAAUCAUUUCGUGCAUGUUUGGAGUUUGGCACGGCCAUUUUUACUGACUUUGUUAAGAAGUACUUAGAAGCUCAUUAGGAAAUGAUAACAAACGAAGCCUUGCGCUUUUACAUGUUACAUGCAUUAUUGGUAAGACGGUUGAUGAGUUACGUUAUAUGAACCCACAAUUAGUCGCCCAAUAGCCACCAUAUAUUAAAUAAUCAGUCAAAUUUUGAAUUGGGUAGUUAACUAAUUUCGAAUUACCGUAAGUCAUAAAUAAUGCAGGUUAGUAAGACCCGAGCCUAGGCAAAUUAAGGUCGUUAUCGCCUCUAAAUCAAGGCUGCAUAACCCAAAGUUAAGGGCACAUGUUCGAGUCCCAACUCCACAGUGUUGGAACUCUAUUAUAGUAUUAUUCCCUUUCACAUUAAAAGGAUAGGAUGGUUAUUUCUCUUACAUAUGUAGAUAGAUCAAAUAUAUCUUCUAAAUAAUAAUAGAUUUAUCAUUUUAAAGAGUUGUUUUAGAUAUGUGGAUAGAUCAAAUAAUAGACACCCUUUCCAUGAAAGGAGACUCAUUGAUUAUUGUUAAAAAAAAAAUUCGUUGAUGUUAUUAGAGAACUUGCAAUUUUUUUAUAACACUAAAUUUUUUAAUUUUUUAAGAUUUUUCUAUGAAUAGCAUGAAUUUUUUAUAGCAUUGGUAAUGAGGAUAUUAUGGACCUUUAGAUUUAAAUAUUUUAAUCUUCGCCAUUCAUUCAAUUUAGUGGAUAAAUAACUAAUUACUUAAUUUUUCAAGUUGCAUGUAGUAUAUAAGUUUAUGUAUGUAAUUCUAUUUUUAAUAAAUAAAUAAAUAAAUUUUAAAUCACUAACAAAAAAAAAUGCAAAUAUGUAUGUUAGUUUAGACGUGUACAUAAUAGAUAUGAAUUGAUAUUAUUUAAUUAUUGCACAAGACAUGCUAAUAAUGAUCUCUUUUGUCAAUAAUAAUCAGGAGAAUAAAAUGUUAAUUUCUUGAUUUUACUGGAUGGCUAAGAUCGAGUUAAGUCAAUUUUCGUUAUAUUUGUUAAUCUAAUAAUAUGUUGGCGAAAAAGAGGGAAUAUGAUUACAAACUAAGAUUGAGUUAAUUUUUUUAAUUCAGUCUUUAAAAAAUUGUACAACUGGUUUGAUAAUUGGUUAAUGAAAUUUUAAAUAACUAAAAUCAAGAUAUUAUUUUAACUAUAACUUCUAAUUUUGUACCAAACGUUGAUGAUCUUGAUGGGCGCAGAGGAUAGUUGGGUACGGUGCUGUAGUGGGCAACUAUGAGGAUAAAGUGAUGGUGACUGGAAUUGACAUAGGGGUAUACUUGGAUGAUGUUGAUUAUAGUGCGGCUGAGGCUUUAUGCUUUAGCUUAGAGUUGCUUAUCAAGAAUCUAUUAAUAACACAUUAUACUCAUACACCAAAGUUUAAUCUGAAUGAAUCAAGUAAUUCUAUGUUAAUAAAAGUUUUUAGACUUACGAUGAGGGUCUAGUUUAUAUAAAUGCAAAUAACACUGAAAUCUAAUAAUCCUUUACAAAUAAAUAUGAUUUAUUCAAUUAUCGCAAACAAUUGUUUUAUCAGAGUUAAUUACAUUAUUGCUAAACUUGUAUAAGCUUUCCUGUUUCAAGCAUAUCUACUUAAUUACAUUAUUCAUCGACAAUGUUACUUUGCUAGUAGAAGUUUUAUGUUUUCAUACCUUAAUCACUAUUUAACGCUUCGUUUUCCAAUAGUUCUAAUUCUUCAAAUUUUGGUUUUAUUCUUCCAUAAUUAUAAAUUGAUACUGAUUCGCACGACUCAAAUUAAAGUGGUUAAUUACUCUAAAAGUAUAAAUUUGGCAGUCAAUAAUUACUUAAAAAUAAUUGCAAAAAAAUUAAUAAGGAAUAGUAUAAAUUUAAAAACCGCUAAAGUUACGAGAUCCAUGCUUGAUAUUUAAAUCAUGGUCAUAAUACUCUUUCUCUCUCUCUCUCUCUCUCACACACACACACACAUAUAUAUAUAACCACUUUCAAUAUUAUGUUACUUAGUUCUUAAUUAACCGCUCUAUAAAUAAAUAUGAGAAUUAAGUACAUAUUAUGCUACAACCUUAUUGGAGUGUUCCCACUACCAUAUUAGUAGUCAACAUUAGGUCUAAACACCCACAUAAUAUUUUUGGUGAACUUGCAACCACAACCUUUAAAUUAGGGGUGGGCACGGUUCGGUUCGGUUCGAAAUUAAGUAGAACCGAUUUAAAUCGGUUAUUUUAUAAAAAGAACCGAAUAAGAACCAAACUCAAUAAGAACCGAACUCAAACGGUUCUUUUCGGAUCGGUUCGGUUCGGUUCGGUUUUUUCGGUUCUGGGUCUAUUGGGCCUAUUUUGAAUUUUUAAAUUUUUAGCCCAUUGGGCCUCAUAAAUGUAAUAAUUUUUUUCAACAAUUAAUUUAUCCUAAUUUUAUUACAAAUAUUAACAAUAAAUACAAAGUAUUCAAAACACAUUUUAUCACUAAUAUCUUACUAAUUAUUAAUAAGAUACUCCCAAAAUAUGAAAUAUUAAAAUUUCAAAAUACAUAACCAAACUCCAAUACUCCAUCUAUAUAAACAUAAUCAUAAUGUUAUAAAGAGAAAUAACACAUGUUUGAUUUGAAUAAAAUCAUGUUUGAUUUGAAUAAAAUUAUUAACACAUGUUUGAUUUGAAUAAAAUAAAAAAAUAAUUCGGUUCUUCGGUUCGGUUUUUUGGUUCAGCUAAGUGAACCGAAUACCGAACCGACAUUUCAGUUUUUUUUACAAACGGUAUAUUCGGUUUUUUUAAAAAAUAAAAACCGAACCGAAUUAAAAAAAACCGUCGGUUCGGUUUUUUUAACAUUACGGUUUUUUUGCCCACCCCUAAUCUCACUCCUACGCCUCAAGACAAACAAGCUCACACUUCACGGAUCAGUCAAAGGAUCGGCUUUCAAGUCGUUGAAUUCACGGUGGUCAAACUAACGGAAAAACUAACGUGACGUCAAUCAGAUACGGUUUAUAAUAUAUGUAUCCUCAAUCAACGCAAAAAGUUUGAUCUGAAAAACCCUCUGCCUAAAACGCGUUUUCAGAAACGCGGUUUUGUUUUUCAAGUGGUUCCCAGAGCAUCCAUGCCAUGCUCUGUAUCAAUCAUUUCGUGCAUGUUUGGAGUUUGGCACGGCCAUUUUUACUGACUUUGUUAAGAAGUACUUAGAAGCUCAUUAGGAAAUGAUAACAAACGAAGCCUUGCGCUUUUACAUGUUACAUGCAUUAUUGGUAAGACGGUUGAUGAGUUACGUUAUAUGAACCCACAAUUAGUCGCCCAAUAGCCACCAUAUAUUAAAUAAUCAGUCAAAUUUUGAAUUGGGUAGUUAACUAAUUUCGAAUUACCGUAAGUCAUAAAUAAUGCAGGUUAGUAAGACCCGAGCCUAGGCAAAUUAAGGUCGUUAUCGCCUCUAAAUCAAGGCUGCAUAACCCAAAGUUAAGGGCACAUGUUCGAGUCCCAACUCCACAGUGUUGGAACUCUAUUAUAGUAUUAUUCCCUUUCACAUUAAAAGGAUAGGAUGGUUAUUUCUCUUACAUAUGUAGAUAGAUCAAAUAUAUCUUCUAAAUAAUAAUAGAUUUAUCAUUUUAAAGAGUUGUUUUAGAUAUGUGGAUAGAUCAAAUAAUAGACACCCUUUCCAUGAAAGGAGACUCAUUGAUUAUUGUUAAAAAAAAAAUUCGUUGAUGUUAUUAGAGAACUUGCAAUUUUUUUAUAACACUAAAUUUUUUAAUUUUUUAAGAUUUUUCUAUGAAUAGCAUGAAUUUUUUAUAGCAUUGGUAAUGAGGAUAUUAUGGACCUUUAGAUUUAAAUAUUUUAAUCUUCGCCAUUCAUUCAAUUUAGUGGAUAAAUAACUAAUUACUUAAUUUUUCAAGUUGCAUGUAGUAUAUAAGUUUAUGUAUGUAAUUCUAUUUUUAAUAAUGACAAUUGAUUGUGUUAGCAUUUUGGUCAAAAAGGUGGACCCCCCCAAAAACAAACAAAAAAAAUUUAUGAUAAUAAUUAACAUUGAUAAAUAAAAAUAUUAAUAAUGGGUGUGUUAGCAUUUUGGUCCAAAGCCGAUUUGGCCUUGACAUUAAUUGGAAUUUUGGAUCUAUAAUAUGAUUUUCACCGAAAAGAUAAUUUUGCCGCUAAUUAUUUGGGUAGUCAGAUAAUAAUAACAAAAAAAUGUUAUCUCGAUCUCACCUAUAACUUGAGGAGAUAAUAAUGAUAGUCUUUCAUAAUACUCUACUGUUUAGUUUCUCUUCUUCAUUUUUUUCCCCUUUGAAGUCUUUCAACAAAAAUGGGUGGCAUCAUCUCAACCUUCUUCUCAGCGGACACAAUUCGUCCAAUUUUAUUUUACGUCGGUGGACGAGCAAAGUAUAUAUGGGGUCUUAAAGGUAAUCUCGAUGACUUGCAAACUGAAACGGAGAACUUGAUUGCGAAAAAACUAGAUCUACUGAAUAAGGUUAGGCUUGCCGAACAACAACAGCCUCGUGCCCAACGGACGAGCACGGUGAAACUCUGGUUCGAAAGGGUGGAUCGAAGUGUAACUCUUGUUGAGGGGCUGCAACAAGAAAGAGAUCAAGAGAUUGACAGAUUGUGUCUUGGAGGCUUCUGUUCCAAGGACUUGAUUUCAAGCUACGACUUCGGCAAAAAGGUGGAGAAGUUGAAGGAAGAAGUAAUCAAAUUGAGGGAAAAAGGAGAAGCAAUGAAAGAAGUUUAUGAGGGGUUACCAGAAGGUGCAGCGGUUGCAAUAGCUGUUGACCGAACAAUUGUUGGUCAAGAAUCAAUACUUGACCAAGUUUGGAGAUGCAUCACUGAUCAAAAAAAGAAUAAUGGAAUUAUUGGCUUAUAUGGUAUGGGGGGCAUCGGCAAAACUACUCUGUUAAAACAAGUCAAUAACAAAUUCUGCAGUGAGGAGCAUGAUUUUGAUGUCGUUAUCUGGUCGGUUGUAUCUAGAGAGCCAAACUUGAAGCAGAUUCAAGAGGAUAUUGGGAAAAGGAUAGGCUUCUCAACAGAUUCAUGGCAGAGAAAAAGGUUUGAAGAAAGGGCUUCAGACAUCACCAACACUUUAAAGCAUAAGAAGUUUGUAUUGUUAUUGGAUGAUAUAUGGGAGUCCGAAAUUGAUUUAACCAAAUUGGGCGUCCCUCUUCAGACACUAGAUUCUGGGUCCAGAAUAGUCUUCACAACUCGUUUUGAGGGUACUUGUGGUAAAAUGGGAGCCCAUAAGAAUCGGUACAAAGUGUUUUGUUUGGGAGAUGACGAUGCCUGGAAAUUAUUUGAGGGGGUGGUCGGGAGAUACGUUCUUAACAAGCAUCCCGACAUUCCGAAGUUAGCCGAGGAUGUGGCACGUCAGUGUCAUGGUUUGCCGCUAGCACUCAAAACAGUAGGUAAUGCCAUGGCGAGCAAAGUGUACCCUGAAGAAUGGAAAGAAGCAAUUGAGAUCCUAAGCGCAUCAGCUUCUAAAUUCGAAGAUAUGGAGAAAAAGGUGCUUUCGAGCUUAAAGUUCAGCUAUGAUAGUUUGCCGAAAGAUGAACUUCGAUCUUGUCUCCUGUACUGUUGCUUAUUUCCCGAAGACUCUGAAAUUCUAAAAACCGAGUUGAUAGAGUAUUGGAAAAGUGAAGGAUUUGUGCAUUCUAGCAGCGGGUGGGGGGUUCUUGGUGCUCUCGUUCGUGCAUGCUUAUUGGAGGAAGCAGGUGAUCGUGUAAAAAUGCACGAUAUGAUCCGUGACAUGGCAUUAUGGAUAGCAAAUGAAGUAGAGGAGGAGGAGGAGAACUUUUUGGUUCGUGCAGGAGUUGGAUUAACUGACGCCCCAAAGAUUGAAGAAUGGGAAGGGGUCAAAAGGAUAUCCUUGAUGCAGAACAAAAUUCAAAGUCUACCACAAAUUCCCUCUUGUCCGCGUCUGCAAACAUUGCUUCUGGCGAGUAAUCGUAUUAAGGAGAUCACUGAGAGUUUCUUUCAAUCUUUGCCUUCACUUAGAGUUUUGAGUCUAAGAAGAAAUCGUUCCCUGACUGAACUUCCUGUGGGGAUUUCAAGUCUGGUUUCAUUACACCAUCUUGAUAUGUCUUCUACUAAAGUACGUGGAUUGCCGCAAGAGCUCAAGGCAUUGGUGAAUCUGAGAUAUUUGAACUUGGAGUAUACACGUGGAAUGUCUAGAAUUCCACAGCAAUUAAUAUCAAGCUUUUCAAAGUUACAGGUACUCAGGAUGCUGCGUUGCGGUCGACGUUACCAGCCAAUAGUGGAAGAAGGCAACGUUCUAUCUGCUGAUGCUGAAUCAUUGAUGAAGGAAAUCCACUGUUUGGAACAAUUAAAUCUCAUCACCUUGUCCUUACAUGGUUCGCGUGGUGUUGAAAACUUUCUGAAAUUCCCAAAGCUGCAGAAUAUCACUCAAGCUCUGUCCAUCGAAGACUGCAACAGUCUACCGCUCAAUUUGUUACAUCUAGCAAACAUGGAGCAUCUUGAGGAGUUAUAUAUCGAGGAUAGUAAUUUGGAAGACUGGAAUGUCGACUGCGCGGGAGAGGUACAAAAAAUGCGUAAACUUCACUCGGUUCUCAUACGGAAUUGCUCAAAUGUGAAGGACUUGACGUGGCUUGUUUUUGUUCCAAAUCUCAAGUGGCUGCGAAUAGUUGGUUGUGAUGACAUGGAAGAAAUAAUCAGUGUUGAAAAAUUUGAAAAAUUGAGUGAAGUUUCAGAGAUGAUGGGAGAGCUUAACUUGUUCUCAGAACUCGAACUUCUGGUAAUAAGAAAUGCAAGUAAUUUGGAGCGCAUCUACCGCGAUCCCUUGCCCUUUCCACAGCUGAACCGAAUUAGCAUAUUGAAAUGCCCAAAGUUGAAGAAGCUCCCACUCAAUUCCAGCAGCGCAAAGGGACGUAAAAUUGCCCUUGCGGGACAGAAAGAAUGGUGGGAAGAGCUACAAUGGGAGGAUCAAGCCACUCAAAAUGCUUUCUCUCCCUGUUUCCGACCUAUUGAAGAAUAAAGUGCGAUAAGGCACAAAAGUGUGAAUAAAAUUUCUGCGCGUGCUUAAUGAUUAUCUUGUCUAUCUAUUUCAUUUAAUUUAAAAGUUUUCUACGGAGUUGCAUGUGUGUCACUUGUCAUUCUUCUGUACUGCUGUUUCCUAUUUCCAGUUAAUAAAAUUUUUUUGUUCUUAGAGUUAGAAAUGCUUUACUUGUAAGGGAGAUUCACAAUUUUCCCAUAUUAUGAUUAAUAUAUUCUUUUUACUUUCCUACUAUUUUGCAUAAUUUUUUAAUAUUAUUUUUAUUUCUAAAUAUAUUUUUAUUCAUAUUUAUUAUAAAUUAAAUAAAUGUAUGAAUAGAAAUAAAAAUAAAAAUAAAAAUUAAGUAUUAAAACAAGAAAUAUAUAUUAUGAUUUGAAUAAAAAAUAAAUAUUUUUUUGUACUUAGAAUGCCAUUUGUCGUGAGCACCUGAAUCCCCAAAGGACUCCCAGCUUCAAGUGGCUUUGACUUAGCUUGCUUUAGCUCCAUUGCACAUACUCACUCACAUGGAGGAAAUGAACAGAACAAGAAACCUCAUCAUGCCGAAUAUGAUAGAUAUGACAAGGCAUUACAUUGUAGGAAGCUCCCGAUUUCUCUAAAAAACUCUGCAGGUUCUCCGCAAUCAAGGCGUGCUCCAUCUUUAACAGAUCACUUCUACCAUUAAGAGAAGGAAGAGAGUUCCUCUCGUGUGACAGUAAAUCCUUACUUAACACAGGAUUGGAGCCAACCAAGAAGGGAAGGCAAUUUCGUUAGAUUAAGAAUCGAAUCACCAUCCAAUAUAGUAGCAUUUGAACCAGAACUCUUGUUAAAUUCUUGAAAUCUCCUGCUUUCAUCAGUCUGUAAGAGAAAUGAAGAUGAGAAUAAUAGCCAGAACCGGAUUAAAUUCAAUCUGGUCUUUUGAAGACUUCUAUAACAACUAAGAGAACCCAGUGUACCGCCUACAGAUACUGUCAGGCUUCUAUCAAAUAUCCCAAACACCAAAAACCAACCAAAUUAAGCUAACAAACCUGCAUGAAUAUCUAAAUUUCAAUGCAUAUGAAACAAACUCCAUGUUCAAUCCACCAAAACUAGCAAAUUUCAAACUUUAUCACUCAUCAUUCUCUCUCUGUCAGCUGUACGAGGCUAUGAGAUCAUGUUAUAAUGUUCAUAUUGAUGCUGAAUGUUUUGCCAGCUUGUCUGAAUUCCAUAAGAGAAUGCAAUGUGCACAUUAUUGUGCCUUGCCCACCAGUAGAUUCUAAACCACAAAAUCAUUCUGUGAAGUAGCUGACGUUUCGCACAUUCUUAUCCCUUACCAUCAAUAUUCUUCUCCUCAAGCUUAGAUCAUGGAAAUUUGAGUGAUAACACGAUCUAAACUUUAGGGGCAUAAAGUAACAUAGAAGCAACAUGGGAUGUUUUAAAAUCUAUUAUAAUUUGCUUAGGCCCCUGAAUAAAAUUAAAACUUGAAAUGAAAUAAAGUAGCAAAAUAAAGAUUGGAGGUCGCAUGCUUGAUAUUUGAUGCUGUCAAAAUUAAUUUGCAGUGCUGAAAUUGCUGCUCCAAUAAAUUUUUCAAUGGGAUUUCCAUAUUUACAACAAAUUUUCAGUAUUGAAACAGGAUUAAAAUCAUAAAGUGUCUUUUAAACAGCAGAGGCAACAAGAUCCUACAGAAAAAGAAGGCAAAAAGUAGUUACAAGCUACAGAAACGCAAAUAUUCUACUGGCCAACUCCCACUAAAUUCGAAGCGAUUCUAAAAUCUCAGCUUGUACUACUACAUCAUUCCUUCUAUGUAGCCCAACUGUACUUCACCCAGAAAUCACAUUUCUUCAUCAGAGAUAAUUUUACAUCAUUCCUUAUCAUUAGGCAUAAGGCUCCCAAUGUUCUUGGAGGAAUUAUGAUGAAUAUGAGGGUUUCAAAAAAGAAAAAAAAAUAUUAUGACAACCUCUAGGCGGAGGAAAUCAGUUUUCUAGGAAUUCGUUAGAUUGGUGAAGUUAUAGAACCUUAGCAAUUUGCUGUAGUUUGGAAUGUUUUUGCCUUUCAUUAUAGCAUUUGCAAAGGCUCAAGGAUAUAGAAGAACCUUGGCUACAAAUUCAGGGAAGAUUUCACUUAUAAUGAGAAAUAAUCACCAUUAUUCUAUACAAUGAGAAAACAGUUAUGGAAGAAAUAGAAAGAAUUACCCGAAACGAAGGAUUUGGAAGACAAUGAGACAAAAGUAUAAAGAAGAAGAAAUUGGAGAUAUAAUGGCUGCCAAUUUCUUUGAUGAACCCAUCAAAAACGGCUUGAAAAUUAAAGAAAUUGUCAAAUGCUGUAACGGAGGAAUUGAAACUGUAAAAGAUGCAAGUUAAUUCAUGGGGCUGGCCAUCUUGAUUGAUUGAACACCUACACGUGACAAGUGUGCGAUAAUCGUUAUAUCUUCAAUUUUAGGCAGUUUUUCAUUUCUUUUAUUUUAAUAGUAAAAAAAUACGCCAUUUUAGAUACAAAUGCCCCUGACUAGCCCUUUUGUAAGUUACAUUGUUUGGUGCGAUAGUCCCGCACGUGCUUGACAUUUGCCGAAUAUCUUAUGCGCAUUUUUUUUCCCCUCUAACUCAUUGUGUAUGCUCAUCUUUAUGUGCGUUAUUACCUAAACUUAUAUACCAAUCAAAAUAAAUCAUAAAGUAUCAAACGCUUUUAAAUGAUUUUUAAUAUUAAAGAACUCACUUUAAUGAUGUUUAAUUGGUAGUAGCCCUUUAUAGUCUUUAAACCUUUAGCAGUGCAAAGUCACAAGCUUUGUCCAGAAUCUAAUGGCGUAGAUUAUAGGCGAUGGGUGCCAUCACCUGGGCAACGACGUACAUCGCUUGGGCGACAAGCCAAUUUACUAGGCUCAUCGCAAACAGCCUUCGUCGCCUGGGCGAUGGCCAAAUCCAUCCAAUAAACUUUCAGCUCAUGUUUGAUAGCCUAAAAAAAGUAGUUAUGGUGACCAUCACACAUCACAUUUUACUGACAAGGUGUCUUAAUUUUCAUAGAAAAUUGUUCCUACUGAUUUUCCAAUCCUGGCCUAAUACUUGCAGAUUAUUAAACGAUUAUGGAAUGGCAGCAAACCGGCGCCGCGGAGGGGGGCCGGCCCGGGGUUGUUGUGCUGAUUUGGGAGGGGUAAUAAACCCUCUGAGGCAAUUUAGCAAACAUAUUAUGUGCCAUGAUUUUAGACCAGUAAUUUUGUCAAUAAUAGCUAAUUCGCAAUCCCAUUACAAAUCUAAUAAUCUAUUGCAUACACGCUCUUGAUGACUUGGAUUCUCAAAAAAUAAUCAUUUUACGCCGCUGAGGCGCAGAAAAAUCAAUUGUGUUGUCCCUUUAUACUUUUUCAUUUGUUUUGCCCACGUCCAAAUAAAACAGAUUCUGGUAAAUGUGAUAAGGAAAUGUUUGUUUCAAUUUCCAACCCAUAUCUCAUAAAGAAUUUCUCACUCAAAUAAAUAAAUAUUAUCCGGUAAUGGUAUGACAUUUAUUUUGAAGUAAACACCGGCACGCCAUUUUCUCAUUUUUUUCAUUUUUUGAGGACACCAUUUUCUCAAUUGAAGAAUAUAUUUUGGCCAAAAUUCACAAUGUUCUCCACAUGAUUUAAAGCACACAGAAUUCACACUUGUCUCCACAUGAUUUAAAAGCACAAGGAAUUCUCUUGACCUUAAUUACGAAUCUUUUUAUGUUUAUUGAAAUCCAAUAUUGUUGACUCAUUGGUGUAGCCAGAAAAUCAUAUUAAUAUAGUAGAAUUUAUAAAUAACCAAAGAAAAAAGUUCACGCUCUUACUUUAUUACUUUUAUAAUUUUAUUAGUACAUCUACUAACAUGUCUUCAUAAAAUAUAGUUUUAAGAGGAUAUUUUUAUGGUUGUAGAUAUUUUUAUUUUUCUUCUUAAUAAUAGAUUUAAUUUUCAUCUUUCUAAUGUUAAGUUGCACAUUUGGACUAAAUCAGAUUAAAUUUCAAAUUAGAUGACAGGCCUUAUUUUAAUAGAUUCAAUUGGAUUUUGGACAUCUAAUUAAACAACUGGAUUAAUAAAUUGCAAAUGAAUGAGAUUUAUAUGUGAUUUUAAAAUAAAAUUUGAACUUAAAUCUAUGUAUUCAAUUAAUCCAACAAGACAAAUUUAUAAUUUCUACCACCUAAAUAAAAUAUGUUAUCAGAAACUUUUGGACCAAGUAGGGGCAGUUCAUCACUUCGUCGGCCUGCUACUACUUAUACUCCUUUCUCAUUCAACUUUCACAUCUUUUAUAUUAUAUACAAACUAGAUUUGUCAUGCAAGUAUUUGACAGAAGAAAUCUCAUUGGAAAUCGGACAACUUCAAGAAAUUCAUUUAUUGAAUUUGUCACAUAAUUGCUUGUCGGUUUAUAAACCAAAAAGGUAUUCCAAAUUAAAAGUGGUAGAGAGCCUAGACUUUUCUUACAACAGAUUAAGUGGUAGAAUUCCUCCUUAAUAGACUGAGCUCAAUUUUUUGAUCUGUCUUCAAGACGUCAUACAACAACUUGUCCAACCUGAUACCAAACAAAGAGCAGUUUGCCACAUUCAAUGAAGGCAGUUAUGGAGGAAAUCUGCAUCUUUGUGGUCCAACAGUUAAUAAGAGUUGCAACAAUGCGGAGGAAAUACCAGCAAUAGAAUCCAAUCGAGGAGAAGAUGAAGAUGAAUGUGCAAUUGAUAUGGUGUCAUUCAGUUGGAGUUUCGGUUCAUCAUAUGUCACAUUCAUCAUGGGGUUUUUCGCGAUACUUUGGAUAAACUCAUACUGGCGCAGAAUGUGGAUCUAUUACAAUCAUGUAUUCACUAGGCCAUACGCGUGAUGUGCUUUUCUGCUAAAACUAGUUCACAAAUGUGAUUUCAUUAAAAUUAGUCUAUACACAUCUUUCCCUUGGCUUUUGUUGGCUCCAACUCCGGACUUUUAUUCAUAUCAUUACUUUAUGUAGUUUCCCCAAAAGGCUUGUGAUGAUUAAUGCAGUUUAUAAAUUAUUACUACUACAAUAAUGAUAUAAUAAAUAAUUUUUUUUAAGUUGUAAAAGUGAGAAAUACUAAAGAGAUCUUUAUUACAUCAUUAAUGUUCGAUCAAGAAUUUCCUCAUCCGAGCUUGCAGUCUGUGGAGGAGACUGUAUCAAUGUCGAAAUUCUCCGGACCGGCACUAUUUGCUGUUUCUCCAUUGAAUAGUGCGUCUUACUACAACAAGGUGAAACACAGCCCAGUGUUCUGAUUGGGCCCAAUGCGAAAAACAUAAAACCCAAAUUUUUGUUGACUUUGGGCCUGCUCAAAUACCAUGCCCAAUUGUGUCUAGUUGUAACAAAAGCGGCGAGAUGUUCAUGCCCAAACCCGCAAGAUUGUUUUAAUAUUUAAAAUUUAACAUGAUUCUAGAAUUUUUGUUAAUAAAAAAUAAACCACCAAGAUUCUAGUGAAUAACAAAUGUAUACAUAUACACGUGCUGUGUAGACCGGGCCAAUUCUUGUGGAAUUCUCCAACAACCAUCCUGAUUCUUGAAUUGCCGCGAAAAUUCCGCAAGCGAUGAACCCUCUCUUACGCACCACUCAUUCUCUAUCACAAUGAUCAAAAUAAAGACGAGGACGGAGACUAUUAAUCACUGAGAGUGAUUUUCUCAAUAUUUGUCAAUCACUACUAAGAUUCAUUGUCAAUCAAUAAUAUCAAUUGACACAAAGAUUGAUUGUCUUUUUUUUUUUUUCGAGAAUAUCAGUGCUUGAAUACAUUAUUUGAUAUAUAUAAUUCAAUGUAAACUCAAUCAUACUCUUAAAUUAUUUUUAUAAAUUCUCAAUAUCAGUCUUUGAUUUUAAUUCGAGUUUUGAUUCAAAUUAAUGCAAGGAUACAAAAGGACUCAAGAGCUUCAUAUAUCAAUUCUAUGUUAUUAACUUAUUAUUUCGGUGUACACCACAAAUUUAUGAGUAAUUUAUUAAAAUGUCUAAACAUAUAUGAAAAAUAGUUGAUUAUUGAUUUUCACAAAUUUCAAUAUAUCAAACAUCCUAUCGAGUUAUUAAUUCCAAAGCACAUUAUUUAAGAAUCAAUGCUAGAAUAAAUUAUUUGAUAAUUUCAAACCCAAAUUUACGCUUAAAUUCUUUAAAUUAUCUCAAUCAACUUUUUUUUUUCUUAGCUGACCAUCUAUAUCAGCUAUUGGAAAAAAAAAUAGAAUUGACGACUACUUGUAUGUUGGCCUAAUUUGAAAGUCAAUCAACAUUUAUUUUCCAUGUAAUGUUAAUGAAGCAUUUCCCUCAUUGGUCCAACAUUGCAACAUGUGGAAUUUCAGGCUUACAAUUCCUCAUUAGUCAUUACAGAUACCGAAAUUGAUUGUCAGACAAUAUUGUCAUUUCAAUAUAUGCCACAAUUUUAUGAGUAAUUUACUAAAAUCUUUAAAUAUAUAAAAUUUGCAUGUGUGUAAUAAACCUGUAUUUAUAUAUAAAAUUUGCAUAUUUAAAUUGCACCUCUCCAUGCAUCAUAUAAAAUGUCAUUUCAAUGUGAUCCACACUUUUAUGAGUUAAUAACUAAAUAUUGUCACUAAAUUUUUCCUAAUUGUUGCAUGCAUUAGAUUUUUUUACGAAAAAAAAAACAUGCUACAUUAAGUGUAAAACAAUUGAGGAAAAGAUUAGAGAACACAAUGAGAAAAGAAAUUUUUUAUACAACCUUUUCAUCAAUAAAAAUCAUAUUCAUACUAAUCAAUUCUUCAUUCCUCUUGGUAUUAACAGACUCUCACAUCCUACAAAAUCUAACCCUUAUCAUCCAACUAUCUUUAUCAUUAUUUAACUCAUGAAGAAAAGAGUACUCCAUGAAGCACACAAUACUAAAAAUUCAAAUAAGUCAAAAAUAAAAAUGCAAGAAUAUUUCUAAGGAGGAUGUUGGUUAAAUAAUAAAAAACCCAAACAUAACAAAUCUUAAAUACUUAAUGUUUAUAGACUUUGAAGAAGUCAAAAGACAUUAAACAAAAUGUUGCAUAAUUAAAUAUGGAAUUAUGACAUUAAAAUUAGGCCCUAAUGGCAUUGGUGAGUGAAGAUGAAGGAACCUUCCUUCCUAUAUUAAUUAGUUGAUGUAUUUUAAGUCACUAAAGUUUAGUUGUUGGCUUAAUAAAAUAAAUGAAUGUUUCAAGACUUAUAAUUAAUUAUUAUUAAUGGUUGCAUAUUAUUGAAUUUAAAUAGAAAGAGGAAGAGACAUGUAAUUUUUUGUAAUCUAAUAAUUAUUUUCUAUUUUGUAAUGUAAUUAUUUUUUAAUCUCAACCAAUAUAUUAGAUAAUAGAGAAUAUAAAAAGAUAAGAAAUAAUGAUGUCACAAAUCUUAAAUACUUAAUGUUUACAGAGUUUGAAGAAGCGAAAAUGCACUAAACAUAAGGUUGCAUAAUUAAAUAUAGGAUUAUGGUAUUAAAAUUAGGCUCUAAUGGCAUUGUUGAGGGAAGAUGAAAGAAACUUUCUUCCUAUAUUAAUUAAUUGAUGUAUUUUAAGCCACUAAAGUUUAAUUGUUGGCAUAAUAAAAUAAAUGAAUGUUUUAAGACUUAUAAUUAAUUAUUAUUAAUGGUUACAUAUUAUUGAAUUUAAAUAGAAAGAGGAAGAGACAUGUAAUCUUUUGUAAUCUAAUAUUUAUUUUCUAUUUUUAAUAUUUUGUAAUGUAAUUAUUUUUUAAUCUCAACCAAUAUAUUAGAUAAUAGAGAAUAUAAGAAUAUGAGAAAUAAUGAUGUCACAUCACCUCUUGUAGUCCCAACUCUCUCUCUCUCUCUCUCUCUCUCUCUCUCUCUCUCUCUCUAUAUAUAUAUAUAUAUAUAUAUAUAUAUAUAUAUACAUACAUAUUAUUUUCUAAAAAGUAUUUCUAAUUGUUUAACGUUUUAUUUAUGAGUAUUUUUAAGAGUUUAAAAAAUAUGGGAAACAGAAUCAAUUUUAUCAAAUAAAAAGAAUAUUGGUCAUUUUCUUCAUAAAGAAAGUGUUAAAAUACUUUUGGUAUUUAAGAAGUAACAAUUUUUUUUUUUGUUUCAUAAAAAAAGCAUUCAAAAUUAUAUUAAAUAAAAUUAAAGAUUAACAAAACUGACGUCUGAAUUUCGUGUAAAUUAUAAUAAGUUUAUCUCCAGCAUGAAUGACAUUAUAGCGUGGCUAGCAUCAUCAAAAUUCUGGUAACAUUCCAAGGUUGUCAAACUAAUCAUCUCAAAAUGUCAUUAUACUUGUAGCGUGCGGGCAUCAUCUUUACUUUCAGCAUCAAAAUUCUUUUAUUUAAUACACUUUUAUUUUAUACAAUUUUUAUCAUAUUAAAAUCCUUUGUAAUUUAAGCUCUCUCGGACUUUUAAAAAUGUUAUGCCACCCCUUCUUUAGCAGUAAUAGUAUAUGAUUAUGAUUUAAUUAUUUUAUUUUUUAAUUUAUCAAACACCAAUCACUUAAAUUUAACCUAAGAAAAAAUUAGAACAUCAGAUAAUUUUAAUUGAUUCUUAUUAAGUACUAGAAUUAACUGCUCCCAAUGAUAAUUUAUUAAGCAAACCAUAGUGAUCAUCUUACACUAAAGAACCAACCCAUCUUCAAAACACAAGAAUUUAGUACAAAUAAUUAUCCCAAUAAAGUUUAACGAAAAAGGAAAGAGAUAUUUUUAUUAUUUCUUUUCCUUUCUUUCAUUUCAAUUUCUUGCCUCCUGAGCUCUUCUAAAAGCCAACCAAACCACUUAUUUAAAAAAAAAAAAAAGGAACCAGACAAAGCGCAAGAAAAAAAAUUAAAAAAUUCGCAGUCUACACACAUCCCAGCACCGUAUGCGUCCAAUAAUUCAUCUCCAAUAAUUGCCCCUAUAUGACCACCGGUUUGUACUUGCAUAUAUGUGAAACAGGAUAAAAUCACAAUGUGUCAUUUAAUUAGCAGAGGUAACAAGAUCCUACAGAAAAGGGUUUACAGGAAAAGAAAGGAAAAAAAAUUGUUACAACAUACAGAAACCCAAAUAUUCUACUGGCUAACCCCCAUUAAAAUUCGAAACCAUUCUUAAAUCUCAGCUUAUACUACUUCAUCAUUCCUUCUGUGUACCCCCAACUGAAUUUCUGGCAGAAAUCACAUUUCUUCGUUAGCCUCAACUCAUGCAUCUUUUACUUUUAAUCAAACAUACUUUUUUAUCUGCUGGGCUUUUUAACAAAGAAUAAUUUUCCUUAGAUCUUUUCUAAUAGACAAGAAAGCACAAAGCACAAAUAUCUAGGAAUGUUUUUGCCCUUCAUCAUAGCACUUGCAAAGGCUCCAGGGUAUAGAAGAACCUUGGCUACAAAUUCCUGGGAAGACUUCACUUAUAAUCAACUGGAAGGAUGUCACCUCUACGGGCGUUGUACAUUUUCCACUUCUACGUGGUAUCCUGCAGAAACAAACAAUAAAACACGUGUUAUACAAGUAUUUUUUAAGUAUGAAAUACAUCAAAAGCAUUUAUGAUGCCAUUAAGUUUAGUCAAUACAAUCUCUCAAGGCAGGACAAGAGAUUUGAGAUUCAAACUCCACCUACGUAGGAAAGGAAUGUCAAAAAGAAAUGCGGUUGGGAUAGGUUAUUACGUUUUAUUCUUUUUAUUACUAGAAUUGAAUAAUGCUGCCUUUGACAGUAAAAUAAACGUCAAGUGAUAAUUGAAUUAUAAAAAAGUGAGGUAAAUGGUGAGAAAUAAUCACCAUUAUAAUUUAUAAUAUAAAAUGAGGAAAUAAUUAUGGAAGAAAUGGAAAGAAUUACCUGAAAAGAGGGAUUUGGAAGACAAUGAGACAAAAAUAUAAGGAAGAAGAAAUCGAAGAUAUAAUGCCUGCCCAUUUCUUUGACGAACCUGUAAAAUGUCGUGAUUGAGGGAAUUAAACCGUAUGACGUUUAUGAAAUACUAACUAGGCAACCCAAGAGGGGGGUGAAUUGGGAUUUUAAAAAUUAUCCUAGGCAAACCACACAACAAUUUAAUCUAAUGCCUUAAUAAAUUCGAAAACAAUAAAUUCAAUAAAAGCACAAUAAUAAAUGAGUAAGGGAAGAGAAAGCAAACCCAAGGAUUUUUACGUGGUUCGGCAAUCCCCGCCUACGUCCACGCCUCCAAGCACACCGGGCUUGAGGAUUUUACUAAGCUAGCCUCCCAAGGCUUCAAACGCUUACAAUUGACUUCCAAGGUGUCAAUGGACCUUUACAACAAGAGAUUAUCCCCAAUCUCUUAACCCAAGUGUAUCCCAACACUUACAAUCUUUUAACUUGAUUUUACAAAAAAGAUUACAAAUGAAUCUCUCUCACACAAUGUGUUUGAUCACAAGUGAAAGCUCAAUGUGUGAAUGAAUGAGAUGAAUACAAAGAUUUAAAGCUCAAUGAAAGUUGUAUUCUCAAUAUUUUGCUCAAUGAUGAUCGUUGGAAUUCUUCUUGUUUGAAUUGGAUUGAGAUUAUUUAUAGUUGGAGCUGAAAAACUAGCCGUUAUAGACUGUCUGCUAGAAAACGGUUCGCCGUUAACCAUUAACGGUUAACCGUUUAGGCCGGUCAAAGUUACCGUUGGGCCAAUUUUCAAAUAAACGGUUAGCCGUUUAUUCUUACCCUUUCGCCGUUAAUUUCCAGAGACCUGCAAAACAAAUUUGGUUUAACCGUUCUUAUUAAACGGUUCAAGGUUAACAAUCUGGAAAUAAUCGGUUAACCGUUUUCAGUAAACGGUUCACCGUUAGUUUCCAGAAUCAUCAUUUUAAUAAUACUUUACAGAACAUGCUUUCUGGAAAUUAUCGGUUAGCCGUUUUAAAUAAACGGUUAGCCGUUUGCUACAGUGAUUGCUACAGUGAAAAUAUUUUCUAAAUUUAUAAUUUAACCCCAAAACUUUAUAAAACUUUAUUACGGCCCAAAACGUUAUGAAACUUUGCACAUAGGUCCAAUUUCAGAAUUUCUAAAUAAUACUUUGUUAAUCCCAAAACUUUUUGAAAUUAUGGUAUAGCCCAAAAUGUUAUGAUACUUUUCAAAUAAGUCCUUUACCAAGAUUUCAAGCAAUACUUGUUUAUUUCAAAGUUUUCAAAAUUCUUUCAAUUAAACCAUAAACUUUGAAAAACAACCAAUUUCAUAAAAUCAUUUUUCCAUUAAAUAUGAAACAUUUAUAAUGUGAAAAUAAUGAUUUAUUUAAAAAGAAUAAAAACAAUCAAUUUCAUAAAAUUAUUUUUCCAUUAAAUAUAAAACAUUUAUAAUGUGAAAAUAAUGAUUUAUUUAAAAAGAAUAUUAAAUAAUUUGAGCUUAAAAGAUUAAUCAUUCUUAAUCUUAUUUGUUAUCAUCAAAAUCAAUAUUAUGAAAAUAUAUAUGUUAACAGUUUACUUUGGCGGCCCCCAGUCUUGUCAAUCAGAGAAUAUGUUUUGGCCGAAAUUCACAAUUCUUACCACGUGAUUUAAUUAAAGCACACAGAAUUCGUAAUUUUCUCCAGACAAUUUAAAUUAAACCCGCACUCUUUAUGGACUCCACUUUUAAGAAGGAUAUUGCCCACCGAGCAAACUAACCAAAACUCUUUUCCCUUCUGCGUUCAUUCUCCAACUCGUUGUCACUUUGUUUUGCUCUUCCUCUCUAUAUGAUUUUUAAGAACUAUUAAAUGUUUGUUUGUUUCUUAAAAAAAAUGUUUGUUUUUUUUUGUAUUAGAUGAUUAUAAAUAUUUAUUUAAUUUUAUAUUUUUUUAAAUUUUUUAUUAUUGUUUCAUUAUUUUUUAGUAAAUUUUUAAAAAUUAAAUAAAUUAUUUUUAUUUCUGUUAAUAAAAAUUUAAACUUUAAAUUUUUGAGGGAUGAGAUUUAUUUUUUUUAAAUAUUAAAAUACUUAAAAUAUCUUUUAUUUAUGUAAUAAUUUUAUUUUAUUUUUUUGUUAAAUAAUUUUAAAAAAAAUUAUUUAUUAAAAUAAUUUUAUAAUUUUUAAUAAAAACUCUUAUUAUCAAUUAAAUAACUAAAAUUAUUUUCAUAAAAACUUUUAUAAUAAAAAUCCUACCACACCGCAGAGUCUGCACUUACCUGCGCGUACUGUUUAAAACCCCUCACCGGCUCUGCUCUCGCCACCAAUAUUAAGAAAGAUACUUUGUUGUGGUGGCAUUUUGGUAAAAAAUAUGGGCCCCCAAAAUAAUCAUAAUAAUUAAGGAUUUAGCUAUGUGGCAACGGGUACACCAUACACUUUUUUUUUUUUUUUUUUUGUGCUGCCACAGUUAGAUCCAACACAAAAGUAGUAUUAAGAGCAAGAUGUGUUUGUUUGUUUAUUAACAAUGCAAUCCCUAAUAUUUGUCAAAAAUUUUAAAAAGUUAAAGUUUAUAAAAUUUUGUGCCAAUAUUUUUUUCCCAAAUUCUCUUAGCACAAUUAAUUGUGUUAUGGUAUCCACUUUUGCAGGUUAUAAUCAAGAGAUCAGACAUGAUAGAUACAUAAAAAAUAAUAUAAAAUAAAAAAAUUUUGAAUUUUUGUUAAAGCUCUCAUUUCUAAUAAUUUGUUAAAAUAUUCUUUUACCUAAGAAAACAAACUCAUUGACAUAAUAAAAAGAGUUUUACUGAUAAAAUAAUAAUUAUUCAAUUAUUAGAAGUGCUACAGUUAGAUUUUUUUAAGUUGAAAAUGUAGAGAAGCAUGGAGGAGAAGAGGAGAAGAAGACACAUAAUAAAACAUAAAAAUUUUCAAUUUAUUUAUACCUGAAUUCCAUUGUAUGAUGAAUAGAUUGUAGGUACAAAAAUAUAUUUAUGUGAUUUUCUUUUAUAUAAAAAGUUCAAUUCAUUAUUGCUUAUAUGAUAUAGAGCAAAUUAAUCUUAAGGUAAUGAGAAAGUAGCUUCAAUGAGAAUGCCAAGCUUCUCUUAUUGAUUGUAAUUGAUUGAUUACAUAUUUAAUUAAAAAAAUUCAAAAGGACGUAGAGGUGAGGGUUUUGAAGAAAGAGAAAAAAGAAAUUACUUCAAUAAUUUGUAAAUACAGAAGAGAUUAGGGGGUCAAAAAAUACAAAAAGUAGGGUAUGGUGGACCCAUUGUACCGUAGCUCAACUCAAGCCAAUAAAUUAAUUGUUUUAUCCUAUAAAUAAAAAUUAAUGUUGUGUAUUUGCCUAUAACUUGAGGAGGUAAUAAAAGUCUUUCGUUAUACUCUACUGUUAGUUUCUCGCCUUUUAUUCCUCUGAAAUCUUUCAACAAAAAUGGGUGGCGUCAUCUCAACCUUCUUAUCAGCGGACACAAUUCGUCCAAUUUUAUCUUACGUUGGUGGAGAAGCUAAGUAUAUAUGGGGUCUAAAAGAUAAUCUUGAUGACUUGCAGACUCAGAAGGAGAAGUUGAUUGAGAAAAAAGAAGAUAUGCUGAAUGAGGUUGAGCUUGCUGAACAACGACCCCGAACCAGACGGACGAGAUCGGUGCAACGCUGGUUUGAAAGAGUGGAUCGAAGGGUAACUGAAGUUGAGAGGCUGCAACAAGAAAGAGAUCAAGAGAUUGACAGAUUGUGCCUUGGAGGCUUCUGUUCCAAGAACUUGAUCUCAAGCUACAGCUUCGGGAAAAGAGUGGAGAAGAUGAAGAACGAAGUGAUCGAAUUGAAGAAAGGAGGAGAAGCAAUCAAUCCACUUUAUGAGGAGGUACCAGAAGGUGCAGCGGUUGCAAUAGCUGUUGACCGAACAAUUGUCGGUCAAGAAUCAAUACUAGACCGAGUUUGGAGAUGCAUCACCGAUCAAGAACAGAAUAAGGGAAUUAUUGGCUUAUAUGGUAUGGGGGGCGUCGGCAAAACUACUCUGUUAAAGCAAGUCAAUAACAAAUUCUGCAGUGAUGAACAGCAUCAUUUUGGUGUCGUUAUCUGGUCGGUUGUGUCGAGAGAGCCAAACUUGAAGCAGAUUCAAGUGGAUAUUGGAAAAAGGAUAGGCUUCUCAACAGAUUCAUGGCAGAGAAAAAGUUUUGAAGAAAGGGCUUCAGACAUCACCAACGCUUUAAAGCAUAAGAAGUUUGUAUUGUUAUUGGAUGAUAUAUGGGAGUCCAAAAUUGAUUUAACCGAAUUGGGCGUCCCUCUUCAAAGAUUAGAUUCUGGGUCCAGAAUAGUUUUCACAACUCGUUUUCGUGGUACUUGUGGUGAAAUGGGAGCUGACGAGCGGUUCGAAGUGUCCUGUUUGGGAGAUGACGAUGCCUGGAAAUUUUUUGAGGGGGUGGUUGGGAGAUACGUUCUCGACAAGCAUCCCGACAUUCCGGAGCUAGCCAAAGCUAUGGCAAGGCAGUGUCAUGGUUUGCCGCUAGCACUCAAAACAGUAGGUAAUGCCAUGGCGAGCAAAGAGUACCCUCAAGAAUGGAGUCACGCCAUUGAGAUCAUAAGCAGAUCAGCUUCUAAAUUCAAAGAUAUGGAAAAACAGGUGCUUUCGCGUUUGAAGUUCAGCUAUGAUAGUUUGCCCACUGACGAACUUCGUUCUUGUCUCUUGUACUGUUGUUUAUUUCCGGAAGACUCUGAAAUUCCAAAAACCGACUUGAUGGAGUAUUGGAAAAGUGAAGGAUUUGUGGAUUCUAGCAGCGGGUGGGGGGUUCUUGGUGCUCUCCUUCGUGCAUGCUUAUUGGAGGAAGCAGGCUUAGUGGACGAAGGAGGUAAUCGUGUAAAAAUGCACGAUAUGAUUCGUGACAUGGCAUUAUGGAUAGCAAAUGAAAUAGAGGAGGAGGAGGAGAACUUCUUGAUUCGUGCAGGAGUUGGAUUAACUGACGCCCCAAAGAUUGAAGAAUGGGAAGGGGUCAAAAGGAUAUCCUUGAUGGAGAACAAAAUUCAAAGUCUACCACAAAUUCCCACUUGUCCGCGUCUCCAGACUUUGCUUCUAAAUCGAAAUCAUAUUGCGAAGAUCACUGACAGUUUCUUUCAAUCUUUGCCUUCGCUUAGAGUUUUGAAUCUAAGUGGAAAUCAUUACCUAACUGAACUACCUGUAGGAAUUUCAAGUUUGGUUUCAUUACACCAUCUUGAUCUGUCUUAUACUCCCCUAACUGAACUUCCUGUAGGGAUUUCAAGUUUGGUUUCAUUACACCAUCUUGAUCUGUCUUCUACUGAAGUACGUGGGUUGCCGCAAGAGCUCAAGGCAUUGGUGAAUCUGAGAUAUUUGAACUUGGAGUAUACACGUAAAAUGUCUAGAAUUCCAGAGCAAUUGAUAUCAAGCUUUCCAAAGUUACAGGUGCUCAGGAUGCUGAGUUGCGGUUCUGAGAUAUUUCCAAUAGUGGAAGAAGGCAACGUUCUAUCCGAUGGUGCUGAACCAUUGAUUAAGGAAAUCCACUGUUUGGAACAAUUAAAUCUCAUCACCUUGUCCUUACGUGGUACGCGUGGUGUUGAAAACUUUUUGAAAUUCCCAAAGCUGCAGAAUAUCACUCAAGCUCUGUCCAUCGAACACUGCAACAGUCUACCGCUCAAUUUGUUGCAUCUAUCAAACAUGGAGCAUCUUGAGAAGCUACACAUCGAGGAAAGUAAUUUGGAAGACUGGAAUGUCGACUGCGCAGGCGAGGUACAAAAAAUGCGUAAACUUCACUUUGUUACAAUAUACGAAUGCUCAAAUGUGAAGGACUUUACGUGGCUUGUUUUUGUUCCAAAUCUCAAGUGGCUACGAAUAUGUUAUUGUGAUGACAUGGAAGAAAUAAUCAGUGUUGAAAAAUUGAGUGAAGUUUCGGAGAUGAUGGGAGAGCUUAACUUGUUCUCAGAACUCGAACUUCUGGUAAUAAGAAAUGCAAGUAAUUUGGAGCGCAUCUACCGCGUUCCCUUGCCCUUUCCACAGCUGAAGGUAAUUGACAUAUCGGAAUGCCCAAAGUUGAAGAAGCUCCCGCUCAAUUCCAGCAGCGCAAAGGGACGUAAAAUUGUCAUUUACGGGGAGAAAGAAUGGUGGGAAGAGCUACAAUGGGAGGAUCAAGCCACUCAAAAUGCUUUCUCUCCCUGUUUCCUACCUGAUGAAUAAUAAAGUGCAAUAAGGCGCAAAAGUGUGAAUAAAAUUUCUGCGUGUGCUUAAUGUUAGGCACUAUUAUUCAGGCUUAAAUAAUAACAAUAAAAUACUACACCGUGUCUGCUUUCUUUUACUUUUCUUGGUUCUGUUGUAAAAUUCAGUUCUAUUUGAAGGAAAUUAUUAACAUCAAAACUAAAUACUUCGUGAGCAUCUACUGACAACAUACUCCAGAUGACACCAUAACCAUAUCAUAUAAAGCAAGAAAUGUGAAAUAAAUACAAAAUGAAUCACAGGAGGAAAUCACCACACUCUGCGGUCUCUCCUGCUAAACCCUGCAGUUAGAAUGCCAUUUGUCGUGAGCACCUGAAUCCCCAAAGGACUCCCAGCUUCAAGUGGCUUUGACUUAGCUUGCUUUAGCUCCAUUGCACAUACUCACUCACAUGGAGGAAAUGAACAGAACAAGAAACCUCAUCAAGCCGAAUAUGAUAGAUAUGACAAGGCAUUACACUGUAGGAAGCUCCCGAUUUCUCUAAAAAACUUUGCAGGUUCUCCGCAAUCAAGGCGUGCUCCAUCUUUAACAGAUCACUUCUACCAUUAAGAGAAGGGAGAGAGUUCCUCUCGUGUGACAGUAAAUCCUUACUUAACACAGGAUUGGAGCCAACCAAGAAGGGAAGGCAAUUUCGUUAGAUUAAGAACCGAAUCACCAUCCAAAAUAGUAGCAUUUGAACCAGAACUCUUGUUAAAUUCUUGAAAUCUCCUGCUUUCAUCAGUCUGUAAGAGAAAUGAAGAUGAGAAUAAUAGCCAGAACCGGAUUAAAUUCAAUCUGGUCUUUUGAAGACUUCUAUAACAACUAAGAGAACCCAGUGUACCGCCUACAGAUACUGUCAGGCUUCUAUCAAAUAUCCCAAACACCAAAAACAAACCAAAUUAAGCUAACAAACCUGCAUGAAUAUCUAAAUUUCAAUGCACAUGAAACAAACUCCGUCUUCAAUCCACCAAAACUAGCAAAUUUCAAACUUUAUCCCUCAUCACUCUCUCUCUGUCAGCUGUAUGAGGCUACGAGAUCAUGUUAUAAUGUUCAUAUUGAUGCUGAAUGUUUUGCCAGCUUGUCUGAAUUCCAUAAGAGAAUGCAAUUUGCACAUUAUUGUGCCUUGCCCACCAUUAGAUUCUAAACCACAAAAUCAUUGUGUGAGUAGCUGACGUUUCGCACAUUCUUAUCCCUUAUCAUCAAUAUUCUUCUCCUCAAGCUUAGAUCAUGGAAAUUUGAGUGACAAACAUGAUAACAUGGUAACACCAUCUAAACUUUAGGGGCAUAAAGUAACAUAGAAGCAACAUGGGAUGUUUUAAAAUCUAUUAUAAUUUGCUUAGGCCCCUGAAUAAAAUUAAAACUUGAAAUGAAAUAAAGUAGCAAAAUAAAGAUUGGAGGUCGCAUGCUUGAUAUUUGAUGCUGUCAAAAUUAAUUUGCAGUGCUGAAAUUGCUGCUCCAAUAAAUUUUUCAAUGGGAUUUCUAUAUUUACAACAAAUUUUCAGUAUUGAAACAGGAUUAAAAUCAUAAAGUGUCUUUUAAACAGCAGAGGCAACAAGAUCCUACAGAAAAAGAAGGCAAAAAGUAGUUACAAGCUACAGAAACGCAAAUAUUCUACUGGCCCACUCCCACUAAAUUCGAAGCGAUUCUAAAAUCUCAGCUUGUACUACUACAUCAUUCCUUCUAUGUGGCCCAACUGUACUUCACCCAGAAAUCACAUUUCUUCAUCAGAGAUAAUUUUACUUCUAAUCAGAGAUUAUUUUUUAUAUGCAUGGCUUUACAGUAAUGAAUAAUUUUCCUUAAAUCUUUUCUAACAGACAAGAAAGCACAAAGCACAAAAAUUCAUAUAAACAACUUUUCUCGAAGCUUUUUCAUAAGAAAACCUGAACAUGAUUGCUUCUCUUAGAAGGCCCCCUAGCUUCCUGCAAGAACCUGGUGUUCCAAAAAAAAAUGAUUAUAAUUAGGCAUAAGGUCCUAAUGUUCUUGCAGGAAUUAUGAUGAAUAUCAGGGUUUCAAAAAAAAAAAAAUUAAGACAACGAUUACGGAUUUAAAGCACACAGAAUUUACACUUUUCUCCAUGUGAUUUAAAAGCACACAGAAUUCUCCUGACCUUAAUUGAAAUCCAAUAUUGUAGACUCAUUGUUGUAGCUAGAAAAUCAUAUUAAUAGAGUAAAAUUUAUAAAUAAUCAAAGAAAAGAGUUCACGCUCUUACUUCAUUACUUUUAUAAUCUUAUUAGUAUAUCAACUUACAUGUCUUCAGAAAAUACAGUUUUAAGGGGAUAUUUUUAUGGUUGUAGAUAUUUUUAUUUUUCUUCUUAAUAAUAGAUUUAAUUUUCAUAUUUCUAAUGUUAAGUUGCAGAUUUGGACUAAAUCAGAUUAAAUUUCAAAUUAGAUCACCGACCUUAUUUUAAUAGGUUCAAUUGGAUUUUGGACAUCUAAUUAAACAACUGGAAUAAUAAAUUGCAAAUGAAUGAGAUUUAUAUGUGAUUUUAAAAUAAAAUUUGAACUCAAAUCUAUGUAUUCAAUUAAUCCAACAGGACAAAUUUAUAAUUUCCACCAACUAAAUAAAAUAUGUUAUCAGAAACUUUUGGAUCAAGUCGGGGCAGUGUAUUACUUCGUGGGUCUGCUACUACUUAUAGUCCAUUCUCAUUUCAACUUUCACAUCUUUUAUAUUAUGUACAAAUUGGAUUAUAUUCUAAAAAAGUGUUUCUAAUUGUUUAACGUUUUAUUUCUGGGUAUAUUUAGAGAUUAAAAAAUAUGGGAAACAUAAUCAAUUUUAUCAAAUAAAAAGGAGUAUUGUUCAUUUUUUCAUAAACAAUGUGUUAAAAUACUUUUGGUUUUUAAGAAGUAACAAUUUUUAUUUUCAUAAAAUAGCAUUCAAAAUUAUAUUAAAUAAAAUUAAAGAUUAACAAAACUGACAUCUGAAUUUCGUGUAAAUUAUAAUAAGUUUGUCUCCAGCAUGAGUAACAUUAAAGCUUGGCUAGCAUCAUCAUAUUUUAUCUCCAGCAUCAAAAUUCUGAUAACAUCAACAUCAUAAUUCCAAGGUUGUCAAACUAAUCAUCUCAAAAUGUCAUUAUACUUAUAGCGUGCUGGCAUUAUCUUUACUUUCUGCAUCAAAAUUCUUUUAUUUAAUACACUUUUAUUUCAUACAAUUUUUUAUCAAAUUAAGAUCCUUUGUGAUCUAAACUCUCUUGAACUUUUAAAAAUCUUAUGCCACCUCUUCUUUAGUAAUAGUAAUAGUAAUAAUAUGAUUAUGAUUUAAUUAUUUUAUUUUUUAAUUUAUCAAACACCAAUCACUUAAAUUUAACUCAAGAAAAAAUUAGAACAUCAAAGAAUUUUAAUUGCUUCUUAUUAAGUACUAGAAUUAACUUCUCCCAAUGAUAAUUUAUUAAGCAGACCAUAAUGAUCAUCUUACGCUAAAGAACCAACCCAUCUUCAAAACACAAGAAUUUAGUACAAAUAAUUAUCCCAAUAAAGUUUAACGAAAAAGCAAAGAGAUAUUUUUAUUAUUUCUUUUACUUUCCUAGUGGCUCUGCUACUACCUAUAGGCUAUAGUCCAUUCUUAUUCAACAUUCAGAUCUUUUAUAUUAUAUGCAAAUUAAAAUAUAUUCUAAAAAGUGUAUCCAACUGGUUAACAUAUUAUUUCUAGAUAAUAAUCAAUUUUAUCAAAUAAAAAAGAGUUUUUGGUCAUUCAUUUGGCUCCGUUGCCACUUGUACGUUACAAAAGCUUUUGUCUAUGCUGACUCAGUUACUGUAAAAUGUCGUUCAGCCCCUUAUACUCUAUGUUAUUUAUAAUUUAUUUAUAAGAAUUAUGAAAAUUUCUACUUACCUACACUAUCAAAAUUCAAUUUAUCUCCUCACAAUCUUUUUCAUUUACUAUUUUUUUCUAAGUAUUAAAAGAGUUCUAUUUACAACCACGACAUAUUAAUCAUCAUAACACACAAAUAUUAAUAAAAAGAUAAAAAUAUCCUUAAAUUAAUACUAAAAAUGCUUUCCUCUCUUCUUUAUAAUAUCAUAUUAUAAUAAUUAAUACUUUCAUGAUAAAAGAAUUAAAAAAAUAAAAAUAAAUUCCCUUUGAAUCCAUCCCUCUCUAAUAUCAUUUUCUCUUCAUUAGGAACAUUUAUCGACAAUUGAAGCCACCAUCAGACUCAUCACACAGAGAGAGUGAGAGAGGGGAAGAAGAAACAGAGAAAAAAUAUAUGAGACAUUUACAAUUUUAUAGUGUGUUUAUUCAACGGGAUUUAUAUAUAGUUGCUAAGGGGUUUCAUCAGACACAAGGAGUUGAUUACACUGAAACUUUUAGUCUAGUAGUUAAGGCUUCAACAGUCAAAGUUAUUCUUAGCCUAACAGUACUUAACAAGUGAAUAAGCAGACAAGUGGAUGUUAAUAAUGUCUUCCCCUAGCAGUACUUAACAAAUGAAUAAUCAGACAAGUGGAUGUUAACAAUGCCUUCCUUAAUGGCAUUUCAGUUGAAGAAGUUUACAUGGCACAACCUGAGGGGUUUGUGGAUCCUACUAAACCCCAACACAUCUGCAAAUUAAAAAGGACUAUAUAUGGCUUGAAGCAAGCUCCCAGGCUUGGUUUGACAAAUUCAAAGCUGCAAUGAUUACUCAAUGGCAUUUUCAACACUCAAAAUCAGAUAAGUCUCUCUUCUAUAAAUGGAUCAAUGGUCAUGUAAUUCUAGUUCUGGUUUAUGUUGAUGAUAUCAUACUCACUGGUUCAAAUUCUUACUUAAUUCAGCCAGUCAUUCAAGACAUGCAUCACACCUUUGCUUUAAAAGACUUGGGAGCUCUUAACUAUUCUCUAAGAAUUGAAGUGGUUAAAUUAGCAAAUGGCAUUUAUCUGUCUCAAGCAAAAUAUAUUGCUAAUAUAUUGGCAAACAUGAUAUGGUUCACUGCAGUCCAUUACAUAUUCCUAUGUCUACCAGUCACUACCUCACAAAAGAUUCAAGUGACAUUAUUGCAAAUGUGUCUCAGUACAGAAGUAUCUUAGGUGCAUUGCAAUAUGUUACUCUUACAAGGCUUGACAUAACAUAUAUAGUUAAUAAACUAAGUUAGUUUUUAUUUAGUCCUCGAACACAACAUUGGGAGGCUCGCAAAAGGUUGCUAAGGUACUUAAAAAGAAUUUUACAUCUUCGAUUGCAUUAUUACACAAAUGGAGCUAUGCAGAUACAUUAUUUCAUAGAUUCUAAUUGGGCAUGUGAUAGGGAUGACAGGAAAUCACUUGCUAGUUUUGCAGUCUAUCUAGGUCCCAAUUUAGUCUCAUGGUCAUCCAAGAAACAAGCAGUGGUAUCAAGGUCAAGUAUAGAAGCAGAAUAUAGAGCAUUAGCUCAUGCUACUUCAGAGGUCAUGUGGAUACAAUCUCUUCUUAGUGAGUUGCAAAUUAAACUUAGCACCACUCCCAUAAUAUGGUGUGAUAAUCAAGAAGCUAUUGCCUUAGCAUACAAUCCAUUUUAUUAUGCCAAAACCAAACAUGUUGAGCUAGAUAUACACUUCAUUCGAGACAAAGUUGUAGCUAAGAGCAUUGAGGUUAGUUAUGUGCCCAGUGAAGGUCAACCAACUGAUGUAUUAACCAAAGCUCUCACUUUUAAGCAGUUUCAUUGCUUGUGAAGCAAGCUGAAUGUCUAUCCUGGACAUUUUAGCUUGAGGAGGGAUGUUAGUGAUAUUGAAUUUCAAGCAAAGCAGAGCACAAAAUCAUUAUAUGACUGACCACAACUGAUUCACUCAUUAAGCUAACUUGGCAAGUUAGUUAUACAGCUCACCUCACAUGUAUCAAAUUUCGCGUGUGUAUAACAGAUUGUAUGAAUCAUUUAGCUUGCUAUAUAAAUAUGUAAUGUGUACUCAGUUUUCAAUUAGUUAAUUACAAAGGAAUCUUAUAUUUGCUUCUAUACAAAUUCUCUUUACUUUUCUUUCAUUUUCUUGCCAAACAACACUUUCUUUAGAAUUCUUUCAUGAAAGGCAAUGAGACAAAAAUGUAAAGAAGAAGAAAUUGAAGAUAGGGUAGGGCUAUUGGCUCUCUAAAAUUUAUUUUGGACAUUGAUGUGAUCUUUAAAAAAAAAUUACAUAAUUUUAUUCUUAGGUUAUGUUUAUCUCUUUGAGUUGUUAUCAUAGUUCAUUUUGAUUAAAUAAAAGUAGUUGUUGUAUUAACAUAAUUCUAAUGAACAUAGGUUUUAUUGUGCUUUUAAUCUUUAGGUCCAACUUCUGUAAGAUAGUAUUUAAACCAGCAUCAAUGUCAAUAAUAGCAGGCUGAAAUGUUUCUUUUGGAGACUGAAUAGUUGUAUUGGGAGAUAUGUCCCUCAAAGUACCAAAAACAUAUUUAUUAAAGCUUAGUUUCCUUGAAUUUGCCCAUUUAUCACUUGUUCUUUUUAUUUUGUUUGAUUUCCUGUUGUAAUAAUUUGUGUCUGUAAGACUAUAACAGACACUCACAUUUUAAUAGUUCUUUAUAUCACUAAAUUAACCUUAAUGUAAAAUUAACCGUAAUGUAAUUUACUAUUAAGGACAAUUUAAUAAAAUAUAGUUCAAUAAAUUUUUAUCCAACAUCUUAUUUUAUCUACAAUAAACUAGAUAAACAAUGAAGAAAUGAAUAAAAGUUCACGUGAAAACGAUGUCUAUACUUAUGGGCUAAACCUUUUUUUUUCAGUUUUUUUGUUAAUAGAAUUGUUAGGAAAACAUCAUGUAACACGUUCCAUCUUUUGUAACAAAAGGAAUUAAAAACAGAGGUGGAGGAAGAACAAUAAAUUGCACCACUACAACAUAUGAAAAACGAAAGAAAUCAAAGGAUAAAAUCUGUUUCAAAUUUGUUUUCUGAUCUUCACUCAAUCUAAUCUGCAUGCUUUCAUGGAUUUGAAAAACAAAAUUGAAUUGCGACAUUAAAGAGAAGAACAAACAUAUGUCAAACCAUAUUAUGAAAGCAAAAUAAAAGUUGAUAAAAAAUGAAAAAAAGUUCAAACAUUUUGUUUGUGAUGAUGAAUAUUUUAUUAGAUGUAAAGAGGAAAUAAGAUAAUUAAAGAAAUGGGUAAUGAGAACAAUAAAGGAAGUCGAAAAAUAUUUCAAAUACAAAUUAAUAUUUUGAAAUUAUUAAUUGAGUGUUCAAAAUAAAUUUUAGAAUGUAAGAAGUGCAUCGCUGCCCAUUUCUUUGAUGAACCCAGUAGAAACAGCUUUAAAAUUAUAGAAACUGUAAAACGCUGUAAAAGUGAAAACUUUAAAAAGCUUGCUCUAGUAUUUAAACCUUUAAUAGUGCAAAGUCACAAGUCUUGCAGCUAGUUGAUAUAUCCCCAAGCUAAAAACAUGUGUUGUAUACUCAUUUUUUAUAGUGAUACUAGAACUAUUAUUAUCUUAUGUCUAUGUACGUAUGUUUACAAUUUAUUUCAUAAAUUUACUGAGACAAGUGCCGAAAUUUAUGGCGAAGUACGUCCAAUCUAUUGUCACUAAGGCCCUAUUUGGUAUUUAGAUAAUGUAGUUUUUGUGAAAAAAAAUAAUGUAAUUAAGAAAUAAAAAUUAAUAAUAUAUAGUAAUAUGACUUGUAAAUAAUAAUUUGAAAAAAAUAAUAAAGAAUUAUAAGUUUUUUCAAAAUAAAAGUGGUGGAUCAAAUUAAUUUAGCUUUCAAGUCAUAGCAAGUAGUGUUUAUCAAAUAUAAAAAGUUAUAAUUAUCCAAUCUCAAUCAGAACCUGAGCAUUUUUAGCAAAAACAAUACUUUUAUUCUAUAUUUUACAAAUAUCUUCACCAUUAUUCAGAGCACCAACCCUUAACUUUUUUCGAUUAUGUUUGGUAUAACUUUUUAAGCAGAACUUUUACUAAAAAAAAUAAUUGUUUGAUUGUCAAUGAGAUUUUUUAUUAAAAUUUCUAGAAUUACUUUAAUAGGCAAAUUUCUUAAAGUUAUGUUAUGAAAUGAAUAAAAUAAAAUUGUGAAAUAUAUAAAGCAUAUUUUAGACAAUAUAAUAUUUUUAAAAAAUUUUAACCUCUACUCCACAAAAUUUAAAAUUUAAACUUUUAUUAGUACAAAUAAAAUAAUUUAUUUAAUUUUUUAAAAAUUUUACUCAAAUUAUAAUUAAAUAAUAUUAAGUCUUAAAAAAAAGUUAUAAGAUUAAAUAAAUAUAUUUGACUGAACAUACACUAACUUGAACUCUUGAAAAAUAAAUAUUUUGCGCCACAUAAGUAGGGUCCAAUUAUGUUGCAACUGAUGUAUUAUACCAGAGUUCCUCUUUUUUUCCCCGUAUUAUUGGAUAAUUGAUGCAAAUUAAGCAAAGUUGUUGGGUGCUUCUCGUUCAAUCUAGCAGUUGAAAUUAAUUAUUGGAUAAUUGAUGCAGCGACUAGCAACCGUUGCAGCCGGUUGUAUAUUAAUUUAAUAGCAGUUCAGCGAGCGUGGGUUUCGAAAAUUUGUUAGUGCUGAUUAGAGUCUCACUGAUUUCAUCUGAAAAUUGAUCUCGAGACAUCAAUUAAGACAUAAAAUUAGAAUUAGGGGAUCGCAGUUUUUUUGGGAAUUAAAAUUUCCCUAUGAUUCAUACAUGAAUAUGGCCUCUCACUUGUAGGGAAUUGACGGUGAAAUUAUAAUCGUCACAGCAGAAUGCAAUCAAAAGUUACGGUGCUAAAAGUUUAGGCAUAUAUCAAAUUAGAGUGAAUCUCGCAUCACUUUGAUUUGGUCUUAUGCCGAUCGAAUCACCUGAUGCAGUAUGUAAUUCCUUAUUAAAACUUGCAAUUUUUUAUUUUGAAAAGAUUUAAAAUUUGUAAUUUCAUUACAGAAAUGAGGCGGGGGCUCACAAACAGAAAGCUAGCGAUUUAAAGAGCCACAGUCAAGCUUUAGAAGCCGAUGGUAACAUAGUUAGAACAAUAGAAUCUGAUAGCGUUAGGGAUUCAUAAGCUAUUUGUAAGUAUUUGUACUCCCUGACUAAAUAAUUUGGGAAUAUAAGGAUGCAAUAAGAGUUGAGUGGUCUUUAUUCCAAUAGCAUUAUUUUUUUCGAGCUUCAUCCGUGCUCUAUUCAAUCUUUAUGUGCCGCUUGUGUUAUGUUCCUGCAUAUCUAAUUACCUUUAGAUGCUAGUUGAUAUUUGACAAUUUUGCAGGUUAAGGAUAUUAGAUGGGAUGCAGAGCUUGGCAGUCAGAACAUGGAAUCACGGUUGGUUGAAUACUUUGUAGAUGAGUUUAAUAAACAAGUUGGUAAUUGGGUGAAGUGAGGAAGUCUCCCAAGGCCAUGGCUGAACUGAAGAAGCAAGUUAAAUAUACAAGAGCAAUUCUUUGUGCGAACACAAUGGAACCAAUAUCAGUUAUAUCUUUCCACGAUGAUAGGGACUUCAGAUAAGUGGAGUUAAAGUUCAGAUUUUACUGUUUGAGGUGCGUUUGAAGUUUAUUAACAAAAUUAAUGUGUUCUUUAAAUGAGUGAGGAACUGUAGAACAUGACAAGUAGAGUUUAUUGUGUGAGGGAUGCAUAUUCUCUUACAAGUGCUUUGUUCUUUAAUAUAGCACUAUAAGACAUCUUCUGAUGAAAAAUAGAGUCAAUAAAAUUACUCCAGACUGACUGGGCCGUUACGUUUUGGAUUCCAAUUCUUGCAUGAGAUUUCUUUUUCCUUUUUUUCUUUUUUCAAAUUUACUAGUGGUACUUUCAUUUGGUAAACUAUUCUAUACAUACAUAUAUAUAUAUAUAUAUAUAUAUAUAUAUAUACUCUAAUCAAUUAUAUUGGCUUAUUCUCCUUUUAUGUUGAUUCACGCUGCUGGUAUAGAUAAAAUUUAUUUAUUAGUUUUGGUGAAAAAUUUGUUUUGUUGCACACGGAUAGUAAACCCAAAUACAUUCAUAUGUGUUAGAGCAGCUCAUUAUGCUGAACAGAAGAAGGUGAAGACUAAGAUGAAGAAAAUACAGAGCAAGUUACAGGGCAAGUGUGUCAGCAGUGCCAGCUCAGCUAACAGCUCAGCAGAUUAGUUAAAGAUGGUUGUAAGCAUGAUGUGCAUUGUACUGAAGUUAGUUAGCUUUGAUUACAGUUAGUCUUUGGAUUAGUUAAAUGAAGUUACCGUGAUUGCAUUGUAUAUAAACAUGUGAUGCUUUGUAAAAAGGUUAAGCAAAAUAAAAAUCAAAGUUUGUUAAGGAAAUAUCUCCAGAAUUAUCAAUUCAUUUUCUUAGUAACCAAACAACUUUAUUUUCAUUUUCUUUCAUGGUAUCAGAGCCACUCUAAUGGCUAGUUCCAGUAGCACAACAUCAAAUCCAAAUCAAAUGAAUAUAAAUCAAUCAUCACAUAUCUCCUUUUCGUUCAGCACUCCAGUCAAAUUGGAUCGAUCAAAUUUCAUGAUUUGGCGAAAGCAAGUUCUUACUACAAUAAGAGGAAAUCGUCUUGAAGAUUUUAUUUCUGGAAAUCAAAUCAUACCAGAACAAUACAUUUCUAAUACAGUAGCUGAUGGAUCAGUACAGAGAAUCACGAAUCCAGCUUACAUCAACUGGCGAGCUCAGGAUCAAACUUUGCUUGGCUGGAUUUUGUCAUCCAUAAGUGAAGGUAUCUUAAAUACUGUUCUUAAUUGCGAAAAUUCAUUUGAAGCAUGGAGAUCAAUUGAAAAACAAUUUGGAGUACAAUCUGAGGCUAGAGUUAUGCAAUUGAGGUAUGAAAUGAAUGUCCUUAGAAAAGAGAAUAUGUCUAUUGAGGAGUACUGUUUAAAAGUAAAAGUUGUUGCUGAUAAGCUUGCUUGUGCUGGUAGCCCUGUGUCUGAGAAAGAUCUGCUAAUGCAAAUUUUGAAUGGCCUAGGACCUGGAUUUCUAGAUCUUGCUUCAAUAAUUACUGCUAAUAGAAUGUCGUAUGAUGAUGCUUAUGCAUUACUCUUAACACAUGAGGCAAGAAUGGAACAAAAUCAUAAUACUAAAGAUCUUUUUAGUGCAAACUAUGGGAUGAUGAAUGCUAACUACUCUCAGUUUAGAGGAAAUAAUAAGAGAGGUGGUUAUAGUGGAUAUCAAGGGCAAUUUAAUGCUGGAAAUAGGAAUCAAAAUGGAGGAAGAGGAAUGUUUUUCAAUUCAUUCUCAAGAGGUUUUCCAGCUGGUGGAUAUACUGGUAAUGCUGGUGGCAGAGGACAGCAAAUGAAUGCAUAUGCUUAUAAACCUGUGCUUAACAACAGGCAUAAUUUCAAUAUGAAUCAUGGCUCAACUUCAAUGUCCAAUGGAAAUGGAUCUGAUGAUAAUGUGCUUAUCUGUCAAAUCUGUCAUAAAGCUGGACAUGCAGCUGAUGUUUGUUGGCACAGACACUUUGAUGGCUAUGCUCCUCAACCCAGACAAUUUGGAAGGGGCAGAGGGCAUAAGUCUGCUUAUAUGGCUAACUUUGAUCCACAAAUUGGCUUUACUUCACAAUUUGAAGAUUCAUUUGCUACAGAAUAUCCUGGUUAUCAUGGGUACCAUCCACCUGAUAUGAAUGCAUCAGUUGCAUCAGUAAGUCAUCACUCAUCUGAUAUGCAUUCUGUACCUGGAGCAGCUUAUAUUGCAAAUUUUGAAGGACCAGCUGAUGAAGGGUGGUAUCUUGAUAGUGGAGCUACGCAUCACAUCACUAACAACAUGGCCAAUAUGCAUAUCAGAGAUCAAUUCACUGGAGCAGAUCAGCUCAUUAUUGGAAAUGGACAAGGUUUGCCCAUAACUCAUGUUGGUGAUGCAUCCUUUCUCUUUAAAAGUUCCAAUUCUACACACAAACACUCACCUAUAGUACUUAAAGAUAUUCUGUUGGUGCCUUCCAUUACCAAAAAUUUGUUAAGUAUCUCGAAGCUUACCACUGAUAACAACUUGUCUGUUGAAUUUCUUGGAAAUGUUUGUUUUGUGAAGGAUUCUCUGAGGGGACAGGUACUUCUGCAGGGUCUUGCUGAGAAAGGGUUAUACAGGCUGUUAUUGAAAUCAUCAUCAUCCUCUCAGUUAUCAUCAUCUUUUCUUUCUCACAUGUGUUCCAAUAAACCUUUGUCUAUGCUUUCUUGUUGUUGUUUCAAUUCUGUUCCUUCUGGAGUUGUUACAGAAUCUCAGAAAUCAUGUAAUCAAACUGAUGAUUCAUCUUGUAAAACUUCAGUUAAUAAAGCUAUUUUGCUUCAUAGAAAGUUUGGUCAUCCCAAUCAUCAAAUAUUAACUCAUAUACUCAAAACAGCAAAAUCUAUUCAUUUACCUGCAUAUCAAAAGCAACAAAUGCAUCAGUACAUCUGUGAGGCCUGUCAAAUGGGCAAAACACAUAAACUUCAUUUUCCAAUUACUGAAACCAAAACCUCCAAAACUCUAGAACUUAUACACACUGAUUUAUGGGGUCCUUCUCCCAUUAUUUCUAGAGAUGGUUAUCAGUAUUAUAUAAGUUUUGUAGAUGACUACAGCAGGUAUACAUGGAUUUAUCCUUUGAAGCUAAAGUCUGAGGCAUUAGAAGUCUUUAAGCUCUUUAAACUGCAGGUUGAAAAUCAGUUUAGCACAACCAUUAAGAUGAUGCAAUCUGAUUGGGGGGGAGAGUAUAGACCAUUCACUGAGUUUUUAAGCCAAUUUGGUAUCAUCUUUAGACAUCCUUGUCCUUACACUCAUCAUCAAAAUGGGUUAGUUGAAAGGAAGCAUAGACAUAUUGUUGAAUUGGGUCUGACUCUCUUAGCUCAAGCUCAACUUCCCUUUAAGUUCUGGUGGGAUGCAUUUCAUACUGCUGUAUAUCACAUCAACAGACUUCCAUCUCCUGUUUUGCACCUUUUAACCCCAUAUGAAAAGACAUUCAAACACAAACCUGAUUAUGAUUUUCUCAGAUGUUUUGGGUGUUCUUGUUAUCCUUACUUGAGAGAUUACAAUAAACAUAAAUUUGCCUACCAUUCUAGUAAGUGCAUAUUCAUUGGUUACAGUCCUUCACAUAAGGGCUACAAAUGUUUACACCCUUCAGGUCGAGUCUAUGUGGCAAGACAUGUUACCUUUGAUGAAUCAGUUUUUCCUUAUGCCACUGAGUUUGUUUUUCAUAGUCAUGCUAAAACUGAUUCUCAAAUUUCUCAUUCCCAUACACCACAGCAAAUCCAUCAUAUCUCUUCUUUGCCUGUCAAUAACAGCACUGGUAAUCUGAACUCUGUAAGAUCUGGAAGCAGCAGUUCAAGUCACUCAGAUCAUCUAGAACAGACAGCAACUGAUCAGAAUUCACAACAAGCUACCAUAAAUGACAGGUCACCUUUUCAUACAUGUCCAACAAUUGUUGAAUCUAUACAAAAUAUUCCAGAACCUCCACAUCACUCUUUGCCUAUACAAAGUCACCAUCCUAGCAACACUUCUUUCUAUCCAUAUACACAACCAAAUACACAUCAGAUGAUAACCAGAAGUAAAGCAGGGAUUUUCAAACCCAAAAUUUAUACUGCUGUGCUUACUCACAAGGAACCAGAUACUGUGCAAGAAGCAUUAAAUGAUUCAAAGUGGCUACAAGCUAUGAGGGAGGAAUAUGAUGCCUUGAUUAAGAAUAAUACAUGGACAUUGGUUCCAAGACAAGCUGAUCAGCAUGUGGUUGGAAAUAAAUGGGUGUAUAGAAUCAAAUAUAAUACAGAUGGAAGUGUAGCUACGUAUAAAGCUAGACUUGUUGCAAAGGGUUUUCAGCAAGUGGCAGGGAUUAACUAUUUUGAGACAUUUAGCCCAGUUGUGAAGUCAGCUACAGUUAGAGUAAUACUUAGCUUGGCAGUGAUGAAUCAGUGGAGAAUAAGGCAAGUGGACGUCAAUAAUGCCUUUUUGAAUGGAGAGCUAACAGAAGAAGUUUUCAUGUCUCAACCUGAUGGCUUUAUUGAUGCUCAGAGAUCUGAUUUUGUAUGCAAAUUACACAAGUCUCUGUAUGGGCUCAAGCAAGCUCCUAGAGCCUGGUAUGACAAGCUUAAAGGAUGCUUAAUAAGCUGGGGUUUCACUACUACUAGUUCUGACACCUCAUUGUUUGUUAGGAAGAUCAAGACAUCUAUGAUCAUAGUUCUUAUAUAUGUUGAUGACAUACUGAUCACAGGUCCAAAUACUGAGGAGCUGGAAGGUUUCAUAACUGAAUUCAGCAAAACUUUUGCUCUAAAGGAUCUGGGAGUGUUAUCUUAUUUCCUUGGAAUUGAGGUAUUAUAUGAUGCAGAUUGUAUGUACUUGUCACAGAGAAAGUAUAUCAGAGAUUUGUUAUCGAAGGUAGAAAUGACUGAAUGUAAGGGCAUUGAUACACCCAUGAGUACUGGCUCUAAACUGCAAAAGAUAGUUCAGGGGGAACUUGGAUACUAUCUUGAAGAUCCAACUCAUUAUAGGAGCAUAGUUGGAGGAAUGCAGUACCUGAUACUUACCAGACCUGAGAUUGCGUUUGCUGUAAACAAGCUCAGUCAGUAUGUAGCUGCACCAACACUACAACAUCUAAUGGCAUGCAAGAGAGUUCUAAGAUAUCUAAAGGCAACUCAAGAUUAUGGUUUAAAAUUUUUCAGAGAAGGAAGCUUAACACUCACUAGUUUUACUGAUGCAGAUUGGGCAUGUGACUUAGAUGAUAGGAAAUCAGUUGGUGCUUAUUGCAUUUAUUUAGGCAAUAAUUUGAUAUCCUGGUCUUCUAAGAAACAAUCAGUGAUAACCAGAUCAAGUGCCGAGAGUGAGUAUAGAGCUUUGGCAUCAGUGAGUGCAGAGCUGACAUGGUUACAAUCCUUAUUUUCUGAGUUGGGAUUAAGUUGCAUAGAAAAGCCAAUCAUAUGGUGUGACAACAUUAGUGCCACUGAACUAGCAAAGAAUCCUGUGUAUCAUUCAAGAACAAAGCAUAUCGAAAUUGAUAUGCACUUCAUUAGGAAUAAGGUUCUUGCUGGUGAGUUGAUUAUUCACUAUGUACCAAGUGAAGAACAGAUUGCAGACAUAAUGACCAAGCCUCUUUCAUUUGUAAGGUUUAACUACUUGAGGUCCAAACUCAAUGUCCAUCUUUGUCCUCUGAGUUUGAGGGGGGCUGUUAGAGCAACUCAUUAUGCUGAACAGAAGAAGGUGAAGACUAAGAUGAAGAAAAUACAGAGCAAGUUACAAGGCAAGUGUGUCAGCAGUGCCAGCUCAGCUAACAGCUCAGCAGAUUAGUUAAAGAUGGUUGUAAGCAUGAUGUGCAUUGUACUGAAGUUAGUUAGCUUUGAUUACAGUUAGUCUUUGGAUUAGUUAAAUGAAGUUACCGUGAUUGCAUACAGGUGAUGCUUUGUAAAAAGGUUAAGCAAAAUAAAAAUCAAAGUUUGUUAAGGAAGUAUCUCCAGAAUUAUCAAUUCAUUUUCUUAGUAACCAAACAACUUUAUUUUCAUUUUCUUUCAAUAUGGAUAUCUGGGGUUUGUUUUGUCUUUUAGGAGCAGCAUUACCUGUCGAAAGUUCAAAGAGCUCACUGAACUUAAGCAUUCGGGGUUGAAAAUGGACGAGAUAUAUGCAGUGGAGUUCAUUGGAGGAGCUACUAUAGUGCCAAAGUUGCAGGUUUGCAAUAUCCGCUUUGUUUUGGUAGUUAGCCCGAGUAUUAAAUUCUUGAGGCGUGUAAGGUAGUGGACUUUAGCCAAUUCAAGAGUAGAAUAUAAUAUGUUUACUUGUUUUGAUCUUAAUCUUUAAUCACUUACCCUGAAUAAGAAAUAAUUUUUUAUAUUUGCUCUGCUAUGAUGUUAUUCGGUGUUAAUAGCUUCGUUUUAUUGCUCUUUUCCGCACAAAUUCUUGAUCUCAAAAGAACUUUUAUUUUGAAUAUUCUGCGUAAGGACAAUCUGAUUUAAUACCAUCAGUGAUUUUUCAUUUUUUCUCUUUAGUUUUAAUAUGUUUGAUAACUGUAUGGUUAAGCAAUCUAUGCAAUUUUAUCUUGUCGUAUGUUUGAGCUCAUUUUUUGUUGCACUUCUGAAUAUUUGGUAUUAAUUAUGUGAUAUCGGACAAUACUAUUAACUUGUUAAUUGCUUAAAUCUAAUAUCUUGUCAAAGUCACUAAUAGCAUUUCAUCAUGCAAUGAGUUAAACAUGGAACAAAUGAUGACAUGCGGUUGUGGAAUGUGUUAGAUCUCUGGGAUUCUAUGUCCUUAUGCUUGCAGGGCAACACAAUACAUUUGUUAAAACAUUGAAGACUGUGAUGUCCGCAGAAAAUUAUACGUCAACUUAUGCACCAGGCAUGAUGAAAUUAGCCAAAGACAGUGCUUGGAAGUGGCAAGCGACAAUUUGCUUCUACCAAUGACUUCAGAUCUUAAACCUGUUUCAAGCAAGGCCAGCAAUGACAUUAUGUUCAAAACAGUUUAGCCAGACACACUUGUUCACACCCCUCUACUACAUAUAACCUAGAGGUACAUUUUUUCUUUACAUUCUUUCUAUACGAUUGGGAUUAGGCUUAUCCAGUUCAAUACAUUAUUUCACAAAACUUAUACCAACUUAUUCCUAAUUAUAGUGGACACAAUUAACUUACUUUGGCAAUUGUUUCGAAGAGGUUGACAUCAACUACCAGUGAUGACAAUCUCUUGUAAUGUUUUGGUGCUAUCUACUAAAUAUUACUACUACAUAAUAUUGACAAUUCAUCUAUGUGCAGGCCCGUGAUAACCAUUUAGAUCGACCAGAUAAAGGACUUGGACAUCAACAAUUUGCCCAGAAACCAAUAAGAUAUUGUAAUCAUAAGCAAUCACCCAUCUCUUUGGAUGGUGCUCUAUUGUGAUUCUUUCCUCUAUGACUGUUAAAUAAGCAAUGUAUUGCACUUUUGUUAUGCAAAAGUAUGGCGACCAUGUAUCAACCAGUGCAUCUAUUUUAUACACUAAUUAUGACUUACUAGAAAUUUUAUUACAUUAAUCAUUUUUAGAUAGCUACUCAUCGCAAACGAAAUAAACUGUUCAGGGACACUUGACCCAACAUGCUUGUGACCGACCUUAGAAUAAUUUUUUGUCACUUAAUAUAGACAACUUCUACGAGGUUAAUAUUUCUUCAAAUUUUAACAAAAUCAUUGGCCACAUGAAAACAUACACAUGUUUCCGUUGGCAUGUUAAGUAGACGGGAACAACAUGCGGGGUAUGUACGCCAUUACCUUAAACGAAGCAAAAUUAUCUUGUGUUUAUCAAAGUUUGAAACUAAUUCUGUGCUUACAAAGAAUGUAUGAAUAACGCAUUAUACUCAUACACCAAAUUUUAAUAUGAUGGAAUCAAGUAAUUCUGUCUUAAUCAAAGUUUUUAGACUUACAAGAUGAUGGUCAAGUUUAUAUAAAAGCAAAUAACACUGAAAUCUAAUCAUCCUAUACAAACAAAUAUGAUUUAUUCAAUUAUAGCAAACAAUUGUUUUAUCGGAGUUAAUUACAUUAUUGCUAAACUUGUAUAAGUUUUCCUGUUUCAAACAUAUCUACUUAAUUACAUUAUUCAUCGACAAUGUUACUUUGCCAGUGGAAGUUUCAUUUUUUCAUACCUUAAUCACUAUUUAAUGCUUCGUUUUCCAAUAGUUCUAAUUCUUCAAAUUUUGGUUUUAUUCUUCCAUAAUUAUAAAUUGAUACUGAUUCGCAUGACUCAAAUUAAAGUGGUUAAUUACUCUAAAGUAUAAAUCUAGCAGUCAAUAAUUACAUAAAAAUAAUUGCAAAAAAAAAGUUAAUAAGGAAUAGUAUAAAUUUAAAAACUGCCAAAGUUACGAGAUAUAUGCUUGAUAUUUAAAUCAUGGCCAUAAUACUUUCUCACAUUAUAUAUAUAUAUAUAUAUAUAUAAUGUGAUUCAGUUCUUUAAUUAACCACUCUAUGAAUAAAUAUGAGAAUUAAGUACAUAUUAUGCCACAACCUUAUUGAAGUGUUCCCACUACAAUAUUAGUAGUCAACAUUAGGUCUAAACACCCACAUAAAUCCAAGGGAUCUAGAUCUACAAAUAUUAACCACUCUAUGAAUAAACAUGGGGAUGAAGUACAUAAUUGCCACGACCAUAUUGGAAUGUUUCCACUACCAUAUUCGUGUGUCAACGUUGCGUCUAAACAUUUAUAUACAUCCAAGCAAAUUUAUAUUUGUAAAUAAAUAUAAAAUAUGGAAUGAAAAUAAUCGGUAGAAAAUAUAAAUUACAAACAAUAAACUUAAAAUACAUUUGAGAAAGUAAUUAAAUCCACAAUUUAGAUCCUUGAAUUUCACACUCAUCACCUUAGCUUAAAACAUUAGCCACUCAUAUUAAUAAAAAAAACACUCAUUUUGUUUUAUAAAUUUGUAAAAGUAUAAUACAAGAAAAAUUAAAAUAAAGAAGAGAAAAAAAAAAUCUCUUCUUAUUAACUACACUUCUUCAUAAAAUUCACUCUAAAUUUCUCUAGGAAACUCACCUCUAAAAUUCUACACACCGAAUUAUCAAAUCUCUUGCCUUUAUAUAAAGGUAAAUUCUAGGUUGAUCAAGUGUGGGUAUUUACAUGAUAUUUUUGGUGAACUUGCAACCACAACCUUUAAAUGACCUUUGAUAAUACAAAUACAAUCCAAGGGGUCCAAAAUUGCAAGUAUUGUCAUGCAUAAUAAAACGGUUCAUUCAACAUAAUCAAUGGCUAUAAAGAAGUCAAAUCGGGAUCCUCCAUUGGAUUUUUUUUUCUUAAUUAUUCAAGGUGGUUGAAUCACUAUAUUGAUAAGUAUUAAAUUUAGUAUAAAGAGGUGCAUGUGAGCUCAGACACACGACACAUAUCAACUUUUCAGAAUUAAUGUUAGAUAAAACGGCUACCAAUAUUUUUGUGAAAAUUAAAAUUAAAAUUUUUACUUUUAUUUAAUGUAUACUUUCUAGUAUUAAUCAUUAAUGAACAAUUUUUUAUUUCAUCGCCGUCUAGAUUGCUUUUAUCUUAUACAAAUUUAUUUAAAACCUUUAAAUAGUUUCUAACCACUAUAUAAUUUUAUCUGUCGUCCUUAAUCUUGUUAUCCACAACUGACCAACAUAUUGUUACCUACCAUUAUAGUUGUGUAAUUCACCUUUUGUUAACUGACUUCACUAAUAUAUUUUAAAAGAAACGUGGCCAUCUGUUGCUCGUUGGAUCACUUGCUUUUAAAUCCAAUAAUUCCGUGAGAUAAAGACAAAACGCUUGCUAUAGCGCUACAGUUACAACAUAGACGUGGCCGUAGAGGCGAGAAAAAAAAUCUAUUUGUUUAGUCACUGUACACUUUUUCAUUCAUUUUGUCCGCUUCCAAAUCCUCGGGAGAAACAACACAAAUAAAAAAAAGAUUUUAAGAAAUUUGAUGCCUUGUUCGCCGAAUCUCUCCACUUUUAAAUAGUGUCGUGAUCCUGAUCGUGUGAUCUGGUAAUGGUAUGACAAUUACUUUGGAGAAAACACCGGCCCACUUUUAAUAAAAUAAAUUUUAUACCAAACGAAUCAUAAGGCAAAAACACUGCACUUACCUAUCCAUACUGAUUAAACUCCCUCACCAUCACAUUUUAAUAAUGACAAUUGGUUGUGUUAGCAUUUUGGUCAAAAGGCUGGACCCCCCCGCCCCCACAAAACAAACAAAAAAAAAUUAUGAUAAUAAUUAACAUUCAUAAAUAAAAAUUAAUAAUGGGUGUGUUAGCAUUUUGGUCAAAAGCGGGUUUGACCUUCACAUUAAUUGGAAUUUUGGAUCUAUAAUAUGAUUUUCACCGAAAAUAUAAUUUUGCCGCUAAUUAUUUGGGUAAUCAGAUAAUAAUAACAAAAAAAUGUUAUCUCUCACCUAUAACUUGAGGAGAUAAUAAUAAAAGUCUUUCAUCAUAAUCUACUGUUAGUUUCUCUUCUUCAUUUUUUUCUCCUUUGAAGUCUUUCAACAAAAAUGGGUGGCAUCAUCUCAACCUUCUUCUCAGCGGACACAAUUCGUCCAAUUUUAUUUUACGUCGGUGGACAAGCAAAGUAUAUAUGGGGUCUUAAAGGUAAUCUCGAUGACUUGCAGACUCAAAAGGAGAACUUGAUUGCGAAAAAACAAGAUCUGCUGAAUAAGGUUAAGCUUGCCGCGCAACAACCCCGAAUCAGACGGACGACGACGGUGGAACUUUGGUUUAAAAGGGUGGAAGAAAUGGAAACUAAAGUUGAAAAUCUGCAAAAAGAAGGAGAUCAACAGGUUGAUAGACUGUGUCUUGGAGGCUUCUGUUCCACGGACUUGAUUUCAAGCUACGACUUCGGCAAAAAAGUGGAGAACUUGAGAGAAAAAGUGAUCGAACUGAAGAAAGAGGGGGAAGCAAUGAAAGAAGUUUAUGAGGGGGUACCAGAAGGUGCAGCGGUUGAAAAAGCUGUUGACCGAACAAUCGUUGGUCAAGAAUCAAUACUUGACCGAGUGUGGAGAUGCAUCACAGAUCAAGAAAAGAAUGAGGAAAUUAUUGGCUUAUAUGGUAUGGGGGGCAUCGGCAAAACUACUCUGUUAAAACAAGUCAACAACAAGUUCUGCAGUGAGGAGCAUGAUUUUGAUGUCGUUAUCUGGUCGGUUGUAUCUAGAGAGCCAAACUUGAAGCAGAUUCAAGAGGAUAUUGGGAAAAGGAUAGGCUUCUCAACAGAUUCAUGGCAGGGAAAAAGUUUUGAAGAAAGGGCUUCAGACAUCACCAACACUUUAAAGCAUAAGAAGUUUGUAUUGUUAUUGGAUGAUAUAUGGGAGUCCGAAAUUGAUUUAACAAAAUUGGGCGUCCCUCUUCGGACACUAGAUUCUGGGUCCAGAAUAGUCUUCACAACUCGUUUUGAGGGUACUUGUGGUAAAAUGGGAGCCCAUAAGAAUCGGUACAAAGUGUUUUGUUUGGGAGAUGACGAUGCCUGGAAAUUAUUUGAGGGGGUGGUCGGGAGUUACGUUCUUAACAAGCAUCCCGACAUUCCGAAGUUAGCCGAGGAUGUGGCACGUCAGUGUCAUGGUUUGCCGCUGGCCCUCAAAACAGUAGGUAAUGCCAUGGCGAGCAAAGUGUACCCUGAAGAAUGGAAAGAAGCAAUUGAGAUCCUAAGCGCAUCAGCUUCUAAAUUCGAAGAUAUGGAGAAAAAGGUGCUUUCGAGCUUAAAGUUCAGCUAUGACAGUUUGCCGAAAGAUGAACUUCGAUCUUGUCUCCUGUACUAUUGUUUAUUUCCCGAAGACUCUGAAAUUGAAAAAACUGAGUUGAUAGAGUAUUGGAAAAGUGAAGGAUUUGUGGAUUCCAGCAGCGGGUGGGGGGUUCUUGGUGCUCUCGUUCGGGCAUGCUUAUUGGAGGAAGCAGGUGAUCGUGUAAAAAUGCACGAUAUGAUCCGUGACAUGGCAUUAUGGAUAGCAACGGAAAUAGAGGAGGAGGAGAACUUUUUGGUUCGUGCAGGAGUUGGAUUAACUGACGCCCCAAAGAUUGAAGAAUGGGAAGGGGUCAAAAGGAUAUCCUUGAUGAGGAACAAAAUUCGAAGUCUACCACAAAUUCCCACUUGUCCGCGUCUGCAAACAUUGCUUCUGGAAUAUAAUCAUAUUGAGGAGAUCACUGAGAGUUUCUUUCAAUCUUUGCCUUCGCUUAGAGUUUUGAAUCUAAGUGGAAAUCAUUACCUAACUGAACUACCUGUAGGGAUUUCAAGUUUGGUUUCAUUACACCAUCUUGAUCUGUCUUCUACUGGAGUACGUGGAUUGCCGCAAGAGCUCAAGGCAUUGGUGAAUCUGAGAUAUUUGAACUUGGAGUAUACACAUGAAAUGUCUAGAAUUCCAGAGCAAUUGAUAUCAAGCUUUCCAAAGUUACAGGUACUCAGGAUGCUGUAUUGCGGUUCAAACCACCGGCCAAUAGCGGAAGAAGGCAACGUUCUAUCCGAUGAUGCUGAAUCAUUGAUGAAGGAAAUCCACUGUUUGGAACAAUUAAACCUCAUCACCUUGUCCUUACAUGGUUCGCGUGGUGUUGAAAACUUUCUGAAAUUCCCAAAGCUGCAGAAUAUCACUCAAGCUCUGUACAUCAAAGACUGCAACAGUCUACCGCUCAAUUUGUUGCAUCUAGCAAACAUGGAGCAUCUUGAGCGG